rnacentral:lncRNA from 1 species
AUCACCUGUAGACAUUUUUUUUAAACCUGCAAAACACUCAACACUCAAAAAUAAAAGUUAUCAAACCUCACCGUUAAUCACUCAAAAAGAAAAAAUCAAAUUCUCAAUGAGGUCGAAUUCAAUCUUGUGAGUUCUUUAUCAGAGUUUAUAUCAACCAAUUAGAGAAUGUGAACCAAACUACCAAAGAAUCCUAAUUUGCACUAGGAUGCCAAAAACUGACGAGACACCAAGUGAUUCGUGUUACACCGAGGAAGGAGUUGUGCACACGUGUAAAUCCUACUAACACAAGAAACAAGAAGAUGUUAGAUAACGUAACAGAAGAAUAAAAAGCAAACAAAUGAAAACCUACAGCUAAGAAUCAAUAAAAAUUGCUAAAACCAGAAAACCCGAAAAACUACGGAGUAACUUGACAACUUCGUUAGAGGUGUUCCUGAUCUCCAAAAAUCACGAAAUUAAAUCUGGAGUGUCCUUAUAUAUUGAAUUUUUGAUCUUGAAAUUUUGGGCACCAAAUUCAACCCGCUGACUCUUUUUUUAAAUUUUUAUUGAAUUUCGUCUUUUUUGAUUUUUUUGACUUUUUUGACUGAUUUUUUUGCGGGAAUAAUUUUUUAAUAUUCAAUCACAGUGCCAAAAAUAUGUAUGUAAAAUUUCAGAUCAAUCGGACAACGUUUACCCACUCAAAUGAAUUUUUUUUGAAUAAUUUUUGGGUAAAACUGCUGUUUAUGCUUUAAAAAAUAGAGAUCAGUUUAGAAAUCAACCAAGAACACCCAAAACACCCAAAAUCUGAUACCAAAUGAUACGGGGUUGCGCGCGGACCAAGAUCGAGUUGCCAAGUCACGAGAAACUCGUACGAAAACCCUAAACAAUUAGAUCUGAAACGAAAACAGAAAAUUAAAAGAUUAGAUUUUUGAAUUUUCAGAUCUGAAAUAAAAUCCCCAAAACAGUAAAGAAUCAAAUAGAGAAUAGAAAUAAGUGUUAGGGUUCUUGAAACCCUCAAGGAGAUUGUGAUUCUGCCCAAUUGAACACCAAGAUAGUUUUCCCCAAAUUUCGACAAUCUAAUUUCACCCAAAAAGAGUAUAGAAAAACCCUAGAAAUUGGGGAUUUUUGGGCUGAUUCCUUAAGAUAGAAAAAGGCUGAAAACACAAUAAGAACAGAAAAUAGAUUAGAUAAUGAUUCAGCACAAGUAGAAAUAAAGAAAGAAUUGACAGCAAGAAAUUAAAAGAUAAGUCCUAAGAAGCCUUGAAAUCUCGAAAGAUCUCACAACUCCCUUCAAACGGCUCUAAUCUCCCCUCCAAAGAAUAUCAAUGGCAAGAAGAAGGUUGAAGAUGGCUCCCACAAUCAAAAGAUUGUUAAAACAACUUCUAAAGAAAACUCAAGAGAGAAAUCUUGGAGAAAACUCAAAGAAAAUUCUGCUCUCAACAAAUCUGAAAUUUUAAUAAUAAUGAUAAGUGUUUAACAAGGUGGACAGCCAUGCCUUUAAAUAGGCCUUAUAACUAGUCCUAAUCUAAUUAGAAAACUAAAAUAAAAAAAACUCCUAAUUAUUUUAAUAUGGAAAUUCGGUCAAAGGUCAUUUUAUCUGGGACUCUUGGACUGAAUAUUGACAUAAAAAUUUAAACUAAGUAAAUAAAUAAAUAAAAAUAAAAAUAAAACUUUACAACUUGGGCCACUUUGACAAUUUGGCCUGAUUUUCAACUAAGUAUGGAUGGAUUUCUUGAUUGGGCUGGGAAUUUGCUUAUUGGGCCUCGCCUUCAAGAAUUUGGGCUUUUGUGACUCCUAUCACAUAGUGUAGUCGAAUCUCCGUUGUUGAGUUAACCUUUGUCAAAUGGAACUCAAACUUCAUGUACAACCACAUAAACUGUUUAAGGCACGAAUAUAAAUUGAAAACAAAUUUGGAAAAUUUUGUUACCUUAUUCUCCAAAACAGAUUUGGACAAAUUCGAGGAUUUUACACAAGGUAAAUCAAGAGAAUAACAAAUCACGCUUCUUUUCGUAAUGACUUUAUCAACCACAAUCGAAGAGUAACAAUUAAUCGGAUCAAAAUGAGGGGAUCUUUUAAGAACUAAGUCACCAAAAGUUUUAUCAAUAAUUUUCAAAUCUGCACUGGACUCGGUUUCUAAAAUUUCCUUACCUCGCUUACCUUCGGGAUCAUGUAGUGUGAUUUCAUCUUUGCCUAAGUUGAUCGUAUGAAAGCGUCUUUCAUUUGAGAGUUAUUGAAGUUGAAAGUUAUCUUUCGAUCUUUCGGGAACCUGAAAAGUAGCAACACAAGAAAAAUUCAUAUCUUGGUUAGUGGAAACAUUCCUCACUACCCUUUCCACGUCUUUUUCUUUUGUUUCUUUUUCUAAUUCAUUUUCUCUUCUUUCUUCAAUUUCUUUUUCACUCUCAAUCUCUUUUUGCUCUUUUUCAUUCUCUUUCUCUUUUUCCUCACUUGUUUUAACAGAAUUUUUCAGUUUGAUUUGGUCCUCAUGGACUUGUUCCAGAGUGAGCGGCACUAAGGUGAGUUUCUUUCCUUGAUGCUUGAAAGAAUACCUAUUGGUAGGACCAUCGUGAGUGACUUUUCGAUCCAGUUGCCACGGUUCUCCUAGCAACAAAUGGCAGGCUUGAAUAGGCAUUACGUCGCACACAACUUCGUCUUGAUACUUACCGAUAGAAAAGGCGAUGCGCACUUGUUGAGUGACCCUAAAUUGGCCUUCGUUGCUAAGCCCUUGUAGUUGAUAAGGUUGUGGAUGCUUGGUAGUGGUUAAGCAAAGCUUUUCCACCAUCGUCGUGCUGGCUAUGUUCGAGCAACUUUCACCAUCAAUAAUAACUCUACAAAGCUUACCUUGUACGUGGCAGCGAGUAUGAAAGAGAUGUUCUCGUUGCUGCUCGCUCCUUGGUUUUGCCAAAGAUGAUUGUCCAUGAUCAUGACAAUCAUCAUCCAUUCUAGGGACACGUUGAGGGUUGCGCCUAUGGGGCUGGUUAUUCCUAUAUUCUUUGAUUGGAUUUCGAUAUUGAGGUUCUUGAUUCAAUUGCACCUCAUUGAUGGUAGCAGUCAAAGCUCGAAGGGUAGCAUUUAUUUGUGUGAUUGCAGUAGCGUGUCCUUCUAACUGUUGUUGGACUUCCAUAAGUGUAUCAUUAUGGUCAUCUUUAGACAUCUUCCAAAAAAGCUGCAAAAAUAAACACUCAACACUCAAAAAUAAAAGUUAGCAAACCUCACGUUAAUCACUCAAAAAGAAAAUUCAAAUUCUCAAUGAGGUAGAAUUCAAUCUUGUGAGUUCUUUAUCAAAGUUUAUAUCAACCAAUUAGAGAGUGGAUGAACCGAUCUACCAAAGAAUCCUAAUGUGCACUAGGAUGCCAAAAACUGACGAGACACCAAUUGAUUCGUGUUGCACCGAGGAAGAAUUGGGCACACGUUUAAAUCCUACUAACACAAAAAACAAGAAGGUGUUAGAUAUUUUAAAGGGAGAAUAAAAAGCAAACAAAUGAAAACCUACAGCUAAGAAUCAAUAAAAAUUGUUGAAAACAGAAAACCCGAAAAACUACGGAGUAAUUUGACAACUUUGUUCGAGGUGUUCCCGAUCUCAAAAAAUCACAAAAUUAAAUAUGGAAUGUCUUCAAAUAUUGAAUUUUUGAUCUGGAAAAUUUGGACACCAAAUUCAACCCGCUGAAUAUUUUUUUAAUUUUUUAUUGGAUUUCGUAUUUUUUCAAUUUUUUGACUUUUUCGACUUAUUUUUUUGCGGGAAAUAUUUUUGUAUAUUCAAUAAUAGUGCCAAAAAUAUGUAUGUAAAAUUUCAGAUCAAUCAGAAAACGUUUACCCACUCAAAUGAAUUUUUUUCAAAAAUUUUUCUGGGUAAAACUGCUGUUUGUAAUUUAAAAAAUAAAGAUCAGUUUAGAAAUCAACCAAGAACACCCAAAACGCCCAAAAUCUGAUACCAAAUGAUACGGGGUUGCGCGCGGACCAAGAUCGAGUUGCCAAGUCACGGGAAACUCCUACGAAAACCCUAAACAAUCAGAUCCGAAACGAAACAGAAAAAUUAAAAGAUUAGAACUUUGAAUUUCCAGAUCUGAAAUAAAAUCCCCAAAUCAGCAAAGAAUCAAAUUGAGAAUAGAAAUAAGUGUUAGGGUUCUUGAAACCCUCAAGGAGAUUGUGAUUCUGCCCAAUUGAACACCAAGAUAGUUUUCCCCAAAUUUCGACAAUCUAAUUUCACCCAAAAAGAGUAUGGAAAAACCCUAGAAAUUGGGGAUUUUUGGGCUGAUUCCUUAAGAUAGAAAAAGGCUAAAAACACAAUAAGAACAGAAAAUAGAUUAGAUAAUGAUUCAGCACAAGUAGAAAUAAAGAAAGAAUUGACAGUAAGAAAUUAAAAGAUAAGUCCUAAGAAGCCUUGAAAUCUCGAAAGAUCUCACAACUCCUUUCAAACGGCUCUAAUCUCCCCUCCAAAGAAUAUCAAUGGCAAGAAGAAGGUUGAAGAUGGCUCCCACAAUCACAAGAUUGUUAAAACAACUUCUAAAGAAAACUCAAGAGAAAAAUCUUGGAGAAAACUCAAAGAAAAUUCUGCUCUCAACAAAUCUGAAAUUUUAAUAAUAAUGAUAAGUAUUUAACAAGGUGGACAGCCAUGCCUUUAAAUAGGCCUUAUAACUAGUCCUAAUCUAAUUAGAAAACUAAAAUAAAAAAAACUCCUAAUUAUUUUAAUAUGGAAAUUCGGUCAAAGGUCAUUUUAUCUGGGACUCUUGGACUGAAUAUUGACAUAAAAAUUUAAACUAAGUAAAUAAAUAAAUAAAUAAAUAAAUAAAUAAAAAUAAAACUUUACAACUUGGGCCACUUUGACAAUUUGGCCUGAUUUUCAACUAAGUAUGGAUGGAUUUCUUGAUUGGGCUGGGAAUUUGCUUAUUGGGCCUCGCCUUCAAGAAUUUGGGCUUUUGUGACUCGUAUCAAGAAGCCUUAAAAUCGAGAAAGAUUUCACAACUCCCUUCAAACGGCUCUAAUCUCCCCUCCAAUGAAGAACAAUGGCAAGAAGAAGGCUGAAAAUGGCUCCCACAAUCAAAAAGAUUGUUAAAACUACUUCUAAAGAAAACUCAAGAGAGAAUUCUUGGAGAAAACUCAAAGAGAAUUUCUACUCAGAAAAAUCUGAAAUUUUUAAUGUAAAGUAAUGUGUUUACUAGGGUGGCUGGCCAUGUGAUACGACCAUGCCCCGGGCACACUUUUGGAUCAGCUCCCUAAGCAUUGUUUGCAAAUCCAUGCGAGCUGAAUUAGUUCAAUUUCAUUUCGUUAAGCUCCGUUUAGCUCGUUUCCAGCUCACUCGAGCUCAAGUCAACUCACUCAAGCUCAAUUCAGCUCAAUCUUAACCCAAUGAGCUUAUUUUUAGCUUUUUUUAGCUUGCAUUUAUUUUGCUGAAAUAAACCAUUUAAUUUGUCAUUAGUUAAAUUAGUUGUUUAUCUUAAGUUAGUUAAUUUGUUAAAAUCUGGACAAAUAAUUAAUUAAGUGUUUUAAUUAUAUCUAAAUUAAAUACUUAAUUAAUUAUGAUGUUUUAAAUAUGUCUAAAAUUGUUAAUAUGUAUGGCCAAAUUUAAUGUGCAAAUUAUUGAGUUCAUAUGCUGCUAAUUUAAUGUGUUUGAAAUGCAUUUAACUUGCUGAUUUAAUUUGCUGCAGGUUCAUGAACGGAUUGGUGCAAUGUAUGGGAGUGUGCAUGCACAAUUGAGGUUCAAUGGAUGGCAUUUAAAGGAGCACAUGCAUUUGGGACGUUCAUGCAAGAGGGAGUUGCUGAAAGUUCAUGUAUUUGAAGAUUCAUGGAUCAUAUUUAUGGGGGAAAAUACAUGGGACGUUUCAUGCAUGAUUCAUGCAUUUUCAAGAUGACCAUUCAAGUAUUUUAGGCACAUUAAUGCCUCAUUCAGCCAAGGGAGAUGUAGGAUCAUUAAAGAGCUGCACAUUUAUGGAAUUAUGGAGAUUCUUCAAGGCUAAGGUUGCAUGAAAGCAUCAAGUGAAGCAUCAUGAUGGUUCAGCCAAUUCAUGUACCAUCUUCAAGCAUGAACUGGAUUUUAAUGCUAUUUGUGUGAACAUGUUAAAUACCUGUGUGAACAGAAUUUAAGUUAGUGUGAACAACAUAGAUGCCGAAUAUCAAUAGGCAUUUUAGGCUUAUAAAUAGCUUACUUGUUUAUUGUAAAAGGUUACAGAAUUUGAUCAAUUAAACUUAAUAGAACUUUUGUUCUUGUGAGGUUACCUCCUCUCUUCUUUCGUUCGAGUCUCGAAGCGACUUAUCUAGCUUGCUAGUAGUGUCAAUCCGAACUCCAUUGAACUUAUCACCGAAUCGGUGUGGCGUUCAACCAUCUUCCUAUACCUUUGGUUCUUACCUCCAUAUAGGUAACGGGUCAAGGUCCGCUUCUAUCCUUCAUCAAAAUUCACCUUAAGCAAUAUAAGACUCGGGGCAAUACUUUUUAGUAUUGAAUCAUUCUUAAAGUUUGAGUUCUUUAUCCAUUUCCAUUUAUUUAUCAUCUUUGUAACUUAAUUCUUUGUUAAACCGAACCUAUCUUUCAUCAAACCAAAACCCAUCCUUUGAACCCAUUUUGCCUACCUUCCGCUUAUAAAACAUUCAAACUCCAUCUAUCUACAAAUUUGAACGAGCUUCUCGUCGAUGAUCGGGCAUCUUAAGUGAACCCGACUCAAUUAAUCGGGCCGGAUCACAUCAUUUGGUAUUAGAGCUAUUAAAACGAGGAGUACCGAUGUUCGUAUCAAGCUUGGAAUAGGUUCGUAACGUAAAAAAAAGUAAAAAAAAAUCAAAAAAAUUGAGUUGGAAUUUAAUUUUUUUUCUCUUCCUUGUAUUUUGUUUACUAUUGUAUUGGAUUGAAAAAAAAAGAGAAGAAAUUCAGAAAAAAAAUUUCAAAAAAAAAGGAAAAAAAAAGAAGUGACAAAAAAUCGAGUUAAAAAAAAGAAAGAAAAAAAAGUGAAAAGUCUUGCGAGUUUUUAUCAUUAUCACUUAUUACUCCGAUCAUCAAGUUUCCCUUCCUACCAUUAUUUACCCAUCCCAACGCCACACUUUAAACCAAUUUUCUUCUUUAUUCAGCCUACCCUACACCCGACAUUAUCCCUUGUAACCAAUUUGAAACCGACCCUCAAGCAGCAAAUUAAGUCUACCGAGACAAAUCACGAAAUUGUGAGAAGAGGUUGAGUGGAAAAAGGCACGAGUGAAAUUACAUCAAAGAAAAAGCCAAAAUUUGAAUGUAAACACGAGUGCGAGUGAAAAUCAUUAUUUCCUUUUCGAGCGAAUUUGUGAGGUUUGUGGUAAGGUAUUUAUUUUCUUUAUUAUUUUUUUCUAACAUCUUCUUGUCAUUACUUAAUCAUGUCUCGAGAAACAUUUCCCGAAUCAGAAUUCCAAUAUUUGAUGCAAGAGAUGCGUAGAAUGGUGAAAUCAAAAUUUGAUAAAUUGCAUGAUCGAUUGGAUCAAGUGGAGGAAAGAGCCCGAUGGAAGCCAAACUCACCGGGUGAAGAGAUGGAGACAAGAUCAUCACGAAGGCACACAUCCAUUGAUUUUUUGGGAAGAGAUUCAUACCAUGAUUCCUAUUCAACGAGGAACUCAAGACGAAGCAAAGCAAGUUUUGAGUUUAAAGCUUUCCGAGGUGACGAACGAGAAAUCACAAGUAGUCCUUCGUAUGCACCGAGGUAUUCAUCCGCCAAGAAUCAAUCUCGAAGAGGUGAUCAUUUUUUGUAUGAAAGUCGUUCCAAUUAUACCCAACGAGAGUCAUUUCGUGCUGAUUCAUUUGUAACAUCUCCAUCCUAUAAUGAAAGAGCGAGGCAAAAAGAAAAAGAAAUAAGAAGAAAGGAAAGACAAGAAAUGUUGAUGAGAGAAAAUGAGCAUAUAUGGAAUGAAAUCGAGAGACGAAAAAAAGAAAUGAAAGAAAAGGAACAAGAAAUUGAAAAAGAGAGUGAGAUUGAAGAAAUAAACGAGAGUGUAAAAGAAACGAGUGUCAUGGAAAAAGAAAUUGAGAUUGAAAAAGGAUGUGAAAAAGAGAAAGAAAUCGAAAAAGAAAUUGAGAUUGAAAAAAAAUGUGAGGAAAAAGAGAAAAUUGAAAAAGAAAGAAAAGACAAUGAGUUAGAAAAACAAACGAGAGAAAAGGAGGCAAAAGAGCAAGAAAAAGUGAGGAAUCUGUUUACUAAACCACAUGAGAAUUUGUCUUGUUUUGUUUCCUCAUUUCAGGUCUCCGGAAGGCCAAGUGACGAUAAUUUUCAACUCCAAUACCUCUCGAAGGAGAGAAGGUUCAUUUUGGCUGAAAAAGGUAAUGUUCUCAACGAUCCUAGUUCGCCUAUGCCAAAAGGUAAGCAAGGUAUGAAUGUUGAAAAUUUUAAAGCACUUCUACCUUACUCGAUUGUUGAUGGACACACUGUUGAUGAUUUGGUCUUUAGAAAGAAUCUGAACUUUGACGUGGCUAUUUGUCAUUCUUUGAUUGAUGAUGAUCCAUUUUUUUUGUCUAAUGAUAAGAAGAUUCUUGCUUUUGAAAAAUAUCAUUUUGAUGGUAUUGGUUGUUUAUCUUUAACUUGCAAUGGAAUGCAUGUUUUGGAUGCGCAAGAUGAAAGUCCAUAUAAAAUGUUCAUUCUCACUGAUCAUGUUGAAAAGGAAUGGAAAUGUAUUGAUGAAUACGCCAUUGGCAAGAUUUUUGAUGAAGAGCGAAUAAAUCAGCACCAACAAAAUCUGGAAUUGUGUGAUCAAAAGUUGACAUAUCAUCUGCUUGGUUGUGUUGAUCAUGUGGAUUAUCUAAUUUUUGGUGUGAAAUUUCCAUGUUUUUGUAAAUCUUUUCGAAUGAAAUUUAAAGGGUUUGCUUGUUUGAAUUUGAGUAUGUUAACACCCUCGUUGUUUAAUUUGUGUAAAUCGUUGGAGAUAAAAGGACUCUUUUUGCCAUUUGGAUCGAGUAGUCAAAAUCAUGUCUUUAAUCCUGGAGUUUGCUAUUAUGAAUCAUCCAUGAAAGAAAGCAAGCAUCGUAAAAUUUGUUUGAAUGAAUGUGUAAACAAUCUUUGUUUGUAUGAUACUUUGUCUUUAAGUUUGAAAAUGAGCCAUGUGAAUCUUGUUGGUUUGUUAAGUCAAAAUCAAAAUUUUGUUUUCGGAGGAUGUUCUCAACUGUGGACUAAAAGAUCCGAACAUGUUUUGAAUGAUAAUGAUUUUGAGUUGCUUAGUGCUCUUUCUAUGAAGUCGGUCAUGAAAUUGCCAAAUCAAAUUGAAAUGGCAAGAGAAAAUUUUGUCUUUGACCCCGGUGAACACCAUUCUAUAUCAUUGCCUAAGGUAAUCGAACCAUGGAAAGUUGACUUCCAAAACCAUAGCUAUCAAAUGCCUUGUGAUUUAUGUUUGUUUCCAUCGAAGAAAAAGGUAAGAACGAUUUCUAUUUUCGACCCCGGUUUUGGAUUAUUUGUUCAAACUGUGAAUCAAAUCUCAAAAAGUCCCUUUGUGUUUAAUCUUCAUCGUGUCACUAAUUCGUUUUAUUCUUUUAAAGGUGACAACGUGAAGUGGUACCCUCCUAAAGAGGGAGGGCAUGUGAAUGAGCUUCUUUUGAUCCGAGUUAAUUGUGGCUUUCAGAAUCUUCAACGAUUUUUCGCGAGUAAAUGGCCCGAUUUGGGGACAAAUCGCUUUAAAGAGGGAGGGGAUGAACACUUUUGGAUCAGCUCCCUAAGCAUUGUUUGCAAAUCCAUUCGAGCUGAAUUAGUUCAAUUUCAUUUCGUUAAGCUCCGUUUAGCUUGUUUCCAGCUCACUCGAGCUCAAGUCAACUCACUCAAGCUCAAUUCAGCUCAAUCUUAACCCAAUGAGCUUAUUUUUAGCUUUCUUUAGCUUGCAUUUAUUUUGCUGAAAUAAACCAUUUAAUUUGUCAUUAGUUAAAUUAGUUGUUUAUCUUAAGUUAGUUAAUUUGUUAAAAUCUGGACAAAUAAUUAAUUAAGUGUUUUAAUUAUAUCUAAAUUAAAUACUUAAUUAAUUAUGAUGUUUUAAAUAUGUCUAAAAUUGUUAAUAUGUAUGGCCAAAUUUAAUGUGCAAAUUAUUGAGUUCAUAUGCUGCUAAUUUAAUGUGUUUGAAAUGCAUUUAACUUGCUGAUUUAAUUUGCUGUAGGUUCAUGAACGGAUUGGUGCAAUGUAUGGGAGUGUGCAUGCACAAUUGAGGUUCAAUGGAUGGCAUUUAAAGGAGCACAUGCAUUUGGGACGUUCAUGCAAGAGGGAGUUGCUGAAAGUUCAUGUAUUUGAAGAUUCAUGGAUCAUAUUUAUGGGGGAAAAUACAUGGGACGUUUCAUGCAUGAUUCAUGCAUUUUCAAGAUGACCAUUCAAGUAUUUUAGGCACAUUAAUGCCUCAUUCAGCCAAGGGAGAUGUAGGAUCAUUAAAGAGCUGCACAUUCAUGGAAUUAUGGAGAUUCUUCAAGGCUAAGGUUGCAUGAAUGCAUCAAGUGAAGCAUCAUGAUGGUUCGGCCAAUUCAUGUACCAUCUUCAAGCAUGAACUGGAUUUUAAUGCUAUUUGUGUGAACAUGUUAAAUACCUGUGUGAACAGAAUUUAAGUUAGUGUGAACAACAUAGAUGCCGAAUAUCAAUAGGCAUUUUAGGCUUAUAAAUAGCUUACUUGUUUAUUGUAAAAGGUUACAGAAUUUGAUCAAUUAAACUUAAUAGAACUUUUGUUCUUGUGAGGUUACCUCCUCUCUUCUUUCGUUCGAGUCUCGAAGCGACUUAUCUAGCCUGCUAGUGGUGUCAAUCCGAACUCCAUUGAACUUAUCACCGAAUCGGUGUGGCGUUCAACCAUCUUCCUAUACCUUUGGUUCUUACCUCCAUAUAGGUAACGGGUCAAGGUCCGCUUCUAUCCUUCAUCAAAAUUCACCUUAAGCAAUAUAAGACUCGGGGCAAUACUUUUUAGUAUUGAAUCAUUCUUAAAGUUUGAGUUCUUUAUCCAUUUCCAUUUAUUUAUCAUCUUUGUAACUUAAUUCUUUUUUAAACCGAACCUAUCUUUCAUCAAACCAAAACCCAUCCUUUGAACCCAUUUUGCCUACCUUCCGCUUAUAAAACAUUCAAACUCCAUCUAUCUACAAAUUUGAACGAGCUUCUCGUCGACGAUCGGGUAUCUUAAGUGAACCCGACUCAAUUAAUCGGGCCGGAUCCCAUCACCAUGCCUAUUAAUAGGCCUUCAAUCUAUUUCCUAAUCUCAUUAGGAAAACUAAAAAAAACCUAAUUAAUUAAAAUAAGAGGGAAAUUCGGCCAAGGCAUUUUUAAUGGGCUGCUUGGGCCAAAUUUUGACAAAUAAAAUUCUUAAAGUCUAAAAAUUAAAAUAGAUAUUCAAAUAAUUAAAAUUGUUACAAAUUGGGCCACUUUAACAAUUUUGCCUUAUUUUCAACUAAGUAUCGUUUGACUUCUUGAUUGGGCUUGGAAUCGUCUUAAUGGGCCUCGCCUUCAAGAACUUGGGCUUGUAGUCCAUCUCCUCCUAAAAUUGGUUUGUUGAUGCUCGUAACGGAGAUCCAAUGUGCUUUGGCUGCAAGAUUCGGUUUCUUGGACCAAGAUUUCAAAGAUUUGAAAUCUUUAUUUUCUUGAUUCUUGAAAUCGCUCCAAACAGCAAAAUUGGGCCAAGAUUAGGUUUCUUGAUUUUCUUGAAAACAAGAAAGUGAAUCUUGAUUUUCUCUUUCUUUCGUGUAUGCAUCUAAGGCCUUGCUAACAAAUUCCUAAAUGGUCCCAUUUAGUUUGGAACGCAUUUAUCUGGCCUUUGACCUCGUUAUUGGGCCUUGUUUUAAUUUGAGCCCAUCACGUUCUUAAGCUUAGGUUGGGCCUUUGUGACUCGUAUCAUUCCCCCUUCCUCAAAAAGAUUUGACCUUGAAUCUGAAAAAUCAAAUGGGGACAAGUCAGCCACAUUAAAAGUAGAACUUACAUUGUACUCACCAGGUAGAUCAAUUUUAUAAGCAUUGUCGUUGAUCCGCUCGAGUACUUGGAAAGGCCCAUCGCCCCUUGGGUCCAACUUGGACUUUCUUUUUGUAGGAAAUCGUUCUUUCCUCAUAUGGACCCAAACCCAAUCUCCGGGUUAUAGGAUAACCCAUUUGCGCCCCUUGUUUGCUUUGUUGGCGUUGGCAUCAUUUGUUUUGGCUAUUCGUUGCCUAGCCUUCUCAUGUAAGGAUUUCACAAACUCAGCUUUCUGUUCGCCAUCUAGAUUAACAAUUGUUCAAGUGGUAAUGGCGCAAGAUCAAGUACUGUUAGUGGGUUAAAGCCAUAAACAAGUUCAAAUGGAGAAUAACCAGUUGUAGAAUGAAUAGAUCUAUUAUAUGCAAAUUCAACAAAUGGUAGGCAUUCUUCCCAAUUUCUAAUUUUCUUUCCCACAACAGAUCGUAAUAAUGUCCCUAAGAUUCGAUUAACUACUUCAAUUUGGCCAUCAGUUCGGGGGUGACAUGUAGUGGAAUAAAGUAAUUUCGUACCAAGCUUGCCCCACAAUACCUUCCAAAAGUGGCUAAGGAAUUUGACAUCUCUAUCAGAAACAAUUGUUUUAGGGAUGCCAUUAAGUCUUACCACCUCUUUAAAGAAUAAGUGUGCCACAUGUGUAGCAUCAUCUGUUUUGUGACAAGGAAUAAAAUGUGCCAUCUUUGAAAAAUUGUCAACAACAACAAAUAUACUAUAUCUUCCUUUCUUAGUUCGAGGCAAACCUAGAAUAAAAUCCAUGGAUAAAUCUACCCAAGGUGAAGUAGGAAUCGGUAAAGGAGUGUAAAGGCCAUGAGGCAUUACCUUAGAUUUUGCUUGUUUACAUGUAAUGCACUUGGAACAUACCUUUUCGAUGUCCUUCUUCAUAUGUGGCCAAUGGAAGUGUUCUUGCAAGAUGUUUACUAUUUUGGAACUCCAAAAUGUCCCAUUAAACCCCCACCAUGGGCCUCAAGAAUCAGUAAGUCUCUCAUGGAACACUUUGGUAUGCAUAACCUGUUUAUACGAAAAAGAAAGCCAUCUACAAGAUAAAACUUUUCAAAAGUAGUAUGUCCACAAUUCUUAUAGAUGUGGCUGAAAUCAGCAUCAUCAUCAUAUAACUCCUUAAUGUGUUCAAACCCUAAGACUUUAGCAUUCAAUGUAGUUAUUAAAGUAUAUCGUCUAGACAAAGCAUCUGCAACUACAUUAUCUUUACCUGUUUUAUAUUUUAUCACAUAAGGGAAUGUUUCAAUGAAUUCUACCCAUCGGGCAUGUCGUUUACUCAACUUACCUUGUCCCUUUAACCAUUUAAGGGAUUCAUGAUCUGUGUGUAUGACAAAACUCAUUAGGCAGCAAAUAAUGUUGCCAUACUUGAAGUGCACGAACCAAUGCCAAUAGUUCUUUGUCAUAAGUUGAGUAGUUUAAUUGUGUACCGUUCAAUUUCUCACUAAAAUAAGCAAUUGGUUACUUAUCUUGCAUUAAAACAGCGCCAAUUCCAAUUCCUGAAGCAUCACACUCAAGUUCAAAAGUAUUAGUAAAAUCAGGUAAUUUAAGAAGAGGAGCAAAACAUAACUUAGCUUUUAGGGUCUGAAAAGCCUUUUCUUGGGUUUCACCCCAUUUGAAACCCACAGAUUUCUUUAUAACCUCUGUUAAUGGGGCAGCAAUAGUAGAGAAAUCUUUCACAAAUCUUAUAUAAAAACUAGCUAAACCAUGGAAAGUUCUCACCUCAGUUACCGAUUUAGGAGUCAGCCACUCCUUGAUUGCCUUGACUUUGUCCUCAUCGACAUGAAUACCUUGAGCACUAACUAUGAAACCUAAGAAUAUUAGCUUAUCACAACAGAAUGUGCAUUUAUCAAGGUUGGCAAAUAAUUUUUCAGAUCUCAGAAUAUCCAAAACAGUUCUAACAUGGAAAACAUGAUCAUCUAAGGUCUUGGAGUAAAUUAAAAUAUCAUCAAAGUGAACUACUACAAAGUUACCCAAGUGAAGCCUUAAAACGUGAUUCAUUAAUCUCAUAAAUGUACUAGGUCCAUUAGUAAGGCCAAAAGGCAUAACUAACCAUUCAUGCAGUCCAAAUUUUGUUUUAAAGGCUGUUUUCCAUUCACCCCCUUCCCUCAUUCGAAUUUGAUGAUAACCGUUUUUUAAAUCAAUUUUAGUAAAUAUGAUUGAGCCAUGUAAUUCAUCAAGCAUAUCAUCAAGUCUAGGAAUUGGAUGUCGAUAUUUUACCGUUAUUUUGUUGAUUGGGCGGCAAUCAACACACAUUCAAUGCGUACCAUCUUUCUUUGGUACCAAUAAGACAGGACGGCAUAAGGGCUUAGGCUCUCACGAAUGUACCCUUUGUCCAGUAAUUCCUCAACUUGCCUUUGCAAUUCCUUUGUCUCCUCGGGAUUGCAUCUAUAGGUUGGUUGAUUUGGUAUUGAAGUUCCAGGUACUAAGUCAAUUUGAUGUUCUAUCCCUCGUAAAGGUGGUAAACCUUUAGGGGCCUCGCUAAAAACAUCCUCAUAAUCCUGUAAAAGAGAUUGAAACACACUAGGCAAAUUUUCGUUAAUGUUAGAUAAAGAUAAAUAAUUUUGCCUAAACCUCACAAGGAUACAAGGCUAUUUAUUGAGUAUGGCUCUCCUCACUUCUUUUUUUGUUGCCAAAAUUUUUUUUCUCUCAUUUUACCACUUGUGGAUUCACUCACCUUUGGGCUUUUUAAAUUAACUUUUUCCACUAUUAGCCUCUUUUCUCUCUGUCUUUUGCACUUGUCCUUUCUCCCUUACCCCUCACAAAAUUUCAUCAUCUUCAAUUGAUCUUUAUAUACAUCAGUGGGAUCUAAAGGAGCAAAAGUGAAUUUUCUACCUUUAAACACAAGGGAGUAUCGAUUAAGCUUACCUUGGUGUGUCACAUCGCGAUCAAAUUGCCAAGGUCGUCCAAGGAGCAAGUGUGCCGCAUGCAUUGGGACCACAUCACACCAUACUUCAUCGUAAUAAUUCCCGAGCUUAAAAGUGACCAAGGACUAUUUCAUAACUUUAACUUGGAGCAUUCAUUAAGCCACUGAAGGUGAUAUGACUUAGGGUGUUUGGUACAAGGCAACUUUAAAGAAUUCUCCAAAUAGCUACUCACUACAUUCGAGCAACCCCCACUAUCAAUAAUGAGUGAACAUAAGUUACCUUUAAUAAAACACCAAGAAUGGAAAAUAUUGGUCCUUUGGUUAUCAUCAUCUUUCAUCUGAAUGUUAAGGGUUCGGCGAACUACAAGGCAUUGAAAAUCAGCAAAGUCCCCUUCUUUUGGUGGUUCAACCAACUCUUCGCCAUUAUCACUGUCAUCCACAAGUUCUGGCAUAUCUGGAUCUGUUUUAUCAGAGUCAGAAGUGUAUUCACCAUUAUCUUUCAGAAAAAGUAAUCUCAUGUUAGGGCAUUCCUUACUAUAAUGACCACGCCCUUUGUACUUAAAGCAUUCGAUCUCACGAGUCCUCUUCACACUCGAAUCACCUAAAUUGGGCUGCUUAAAAGGUGUUUGCAUUUUAACAGGAGCCCCUUUUUUCCAAUCUGAUUGCUUACUUCCAUUACUCAAAGAAGACUUAUUAGUAACAAAAGGGGAUUUUGAACUUUUAAAAUCAGAAUUGGAAUUGUUACCUCGAUAAUAUUGUGAAGUAGAGAAGGAACCAAACCUUUGUUCCUUUAAUUGUUGCUCGAUCUCAAUGGCUUUGUGAACUACUUUUUCCAAAUCAAUGUAAGUUUGUAGCCUCAAUGUAUUAGCUAUCGGCUUGUUCAAACCAUCAAUAAAUCGAACCAUAGUUGUUUCCUCAUCCUCGUCCACAAUAGCUCUCUGAAUGAGCAUUUCCAUCUUAAAAUAUUCAUCCACCGUCCUACUACCUUGAACAAGUCUUCUAAGCUUUGUUUUAAUCUCUCUAUAAUAGUGAGGUGGAAAUAAAUCUUUUAUGCAUAAUCUAUUUCAACUCAUCCCAUGUCAAAAUCUCACCUUUAUAAUUUCGAUGAUGAUUUACCCCAAGUUGAGUCCACCAACUGAAUGCAUAAUCUAAAAAUUCCAGCGUUGCUAACGCUACCUUUUCAUCAUCUGGACAUUUAUAAUAUCAAAACAUAAGUUCAAUCUUAGAUUCCCAUUCACAAUAAGCUUCUGAAUCAUUCUUACCAUGAAAUUGGGGAAUUGUGAACUUCGAUUUUGCCCACGAUCAUGAAAAUCAGAGCCAGUUCUAGGGACACGUCGAGGACCGCGCCGACGAUCAGGAGGCUGGUUAUCCAUAUCUUCUUUAAUUGGAUCGCGAUAUUGAGGUUCUUGAUUUAAUCGUACCUCAUUUAAAGCAGCACUUAAAGUUCUGAGUAAGGCAGCCUGUUCGUCUAACUGUUGUUGGAAUUUUGUAAAUGUGUCGUAGACAUCAUUAUGAUCAUUAUCACCUUGACCAACCUCAGACAUUUUCAAAAACCUGUAAAAUAAACACUCAACACUCAAAAAGAAAAGUUAGCAAACCUCACCGUUAAUCACUCAAAAAGAAAAAAUCAAAUUCUCAAUGAGGUAGAAUUCAGUCUUGUGAGUUCUUUAGUAGAGUCUAUAUCAACCAAUUAGAAAGUGUACGAACCGAACUACCAAAGAAUCCUAAUUUGCACUAGGAUGCCAAAAAAUUGACGUGACACCAACUGAUUUGUGUCGCACCGAGGAAGAAUUUUGCACACUUUAAAAAUCCUACUAACACAAGAAACAAUAAGGUGUUAGAUAGUGUAAAGGGAGAAUAAAGGCAAACAAAUGAAAACCUACAGCUAAGAAUCAAUAAAAAUUGCUGAAACCAGAAAACUUGAAAAACUGCGGAGUAACUUGACAACUUCGUUUGAGGUGUUCCCGAUCUCAAAAAAUCAUGAAAUUGAAUAUGGAAUGUCCUUAAAUAUUUAAUUUUUGAUCUGGUAAUUUUGGUCACCAAACUCAACCCGCUGAAUCUUUUUUUAAAAUUUUUAUUGGAUUUUGUAUUUUUCGAUUUUUUUGACUUUUUUGACUGAAUUUUUUGCGGGAAAUAUUUUUUUAUAUUCAAUCACAAUGCCACAAAUAUGUAAGUAAAAUUUUAGAUCAAUCAGACAACGUUUACCUACUCAAAUGAAUUUUUUUCAAAAAAUUUUUCUGGGUAAAACUGCUAUUUGUAGUUUAAAAAAUAGAGAUCAGUUUAGAAAUCAACCAAGAACACCCAAAACGCCCAAAAUCUGAUACCAAAUGAUAGAGGGUUGCGCACAGACCAAGAUCGAGUUGUCAAGUCACGAGAAAAUUCCUACAACGCUCUAGACGAUCAGAUCUGAAACGAAAUAGAGAAUUGAAGUUAGAUUCGAUUAGAUCUGAAAUAAAAACUAUCAAUGAACAGCAAGAAUCAAAAACACCCUUAUAGAUGGCUAUUCUUGGAAACCAAGAAUCGAUUUGAAAUUAGGAAUUAAAACGGUUCUUGAAACCCAAGGAGAUGUUGAUUUGCCCAAAUCGAAACAGCAACUAAUUUUUUCCCAAAAAUUCCAGCAACCGAAUCAAUCAGAUUUGAAAAAAAGAAAUUGGCAAGAACAAUAAAUUUUAGGGAUCUUGAACGAUCUUUGCUACGAAUAACAAGGGGGGCAAUCCGAUCUUUAACGAAGAAGGGGGCGAAUCAGAUCUUGGAUGUUUUGGAAAGUCUGAAAUGCAACAAGAACAACAAACAAAUUAAUUACAUAAAAAUCGACGCAAAUAGGUUUUAAAAAGAAAGAAUGAUAGCAAGAAAUAAAUAUAAGUCCUAAGAAGCCUUGAAAUUGAGAAAGAUUUCACAACUCCCUUCAAACGGCUCUAAUCUCCCCACCAAUGAAGAACAAUGGCAAGAAGAAGGCUGAAGAUGGCUCCCACAAUAAAAAAGAUUGUUAAAACUACUUCUAAAGAAAACUCAAGAGAGAAUUCUUGGAGAAAACUCAAGAGAGAAUUCUUGGAGAAAACUCAAAGAGAAUUUCUACUCAGAAAAAUCUAAAAUUUUUAAUGUAAAGUAAUGUGUUUAUAAGGGUGGCCGGCCAUGCCUAUUAAUAGGCCUUCAAUCUAUUUCCUAAUCUCAUUAGGAAAAUUAAAAAAAUCUAAUUAAUUAAAAUAAGAGGGAAAUUCGGCCAAGGCAUUUUUAAUGGGCUGCUUGGGCUGAAUUUUGUCAAAUAAAAUUCUUAAAGUCUAAAAAUUAAACUAGAUAUUCAAAUAAUUAAAAUUAUUACAAAUUGGGCCACUUUAACAAUUUGGUCUGAUUUUCAACUAAGUAUGGUUUGACUUCUUGAUUAAGCUUGGAAUUGUCUUAAUGGGCCUCGCUUUCAAGAACUUGGGCUUGUAGUCUAUCUCCUCCCGAAAUUGGUUCCUUGAUGCUCGUAACGGAGAUCCAAUGUGCUUUGGCUGCAAGAUUCAGUUUCUUGGACCAAGAUUUUGAUACGAGUCUCAAAGGCCCAACCCAAGAACGUGAUGGGCUCAAACUACCACAAGGCCCAAUAACGAGAUCAAAGGCCCGAAAAAUGCGUUCCAAACUAAAUGAGACCAUUCAAGAAUUUAUUAGCAAGGCCUUAGAUGCGUACACAAAAGAAAAAAAAUCAAGAUUCACUUUCUUGUUUUCAAGAAAAUCAAGAAACUGAAUCUUGGCCCAAUUUUGCUGUUUGGAGCGAUUUCAAGAAUCCAGAAAUUCAAGAUUUCAAAUCUUGGAAAUCUUUGUCCAAGAAACCGAAUCUUGCAACCAAGGCGCAUUGGAUCUCCGUUACGAGCAUCAACGACCCAAAUUUGGUAGGAGAUGGAUCACAAGCCCAAAUUCUUGAAGGCGAGGCCCAAUAAGCAAAUUCCAGCCCAAUCAAGACUUUCAUAUAUACUUAGUUGAAAAUCAGGCCAAAAUGUCAAAGGGCUCAAUUUAUAAACAUUUUAAUUGUUAAUUUAAAUUUUUUAGGCUCUAGGAAUAUGAAGUGUUAAAUUCGGCCCAAACAGCCCAUGUAUUUGGCCGAAAUUCUCUUAUUGUUUUUAUUAAUUAGGUUUAAAUUUUAAGUUUCCUAAUGAGAUUAGGAUUAGUUGGAGGCCUAUAUGAUGCGAACCAGCCUCGGUUUAAUGAGUUGAAUCGCUUUUGUUGCCUGAUCGUCCAAACGAUGAAGUUUCGUUCUUCUUGAGUCAAUUCGUUCUACUUGAUCAAUGAAGUUAUUUGAGGUUCAAUUGAGAUUAAAGAAAGUGAUUUGCAAGGUAUUUUGGCUAAGAAAGAAAUAAUGAAUUUGGAUAGGUGAUGAUUCGGUUUUAAAGGUAUAUGGAAUGAUUGGCUUAAAAACAAGAAAGAACCAACACUAAAUGUAGUUGAGUGUUAACCCGUUUCCUAUAUGCUUUUAAGAUGGUUCGGUAGUGAAAUAGAUAGAAUUAACCUCGACCCGCUACCUAUUGAAGAUAGGAACCUCGGUAUAGUUGAAUGCCACACUUUGGUUGAAAGUGAUAAGUUCGGGUUGCAAAGAACAAAGGUUGACGCCACUAACUAGUAGAUAAGCCAACUAAGUCUUUGGACUAAAUUGAGAGAAGAAUUCCUCACAAAAUACUUAAUUCAAUAAUCAAAAUGGACAAAGUCCUUUUACAAAUAAACAAUCAAAUAUUUAUAGUUCUUCAAAGGCUAGCCGAAUAGACAAACUUAAAAGCUAAGAAAAAUCAAGAAAAUUCCAGAAUUAAUUCCUCAAGAAGAUUCGGCUAAAUAGGCAUUCAAAUGGACAGCUUAAGCAUGAAGAAAAUGCACCUUGCAAAGAUGAUUCAAUACUAAAAAGUAUUGCCCCGAGUCUUAUAUUGCUUAAGGUGAAUUUUGAUGAAGGAUAGAAGCGGACCUUGACCCGUUACCUAUAUGGAGGUAAGAACCAAAGGUUUAGGAAGAUGGUUGAACGCCACACCGAUUCGGUGAUAAGUUCAAUGGAGUUUGGAUUGACACCACUAGCAAGCUAGAUAAGUCGCUUCGAGACUCGAACGAAAGAAGAGAGGAGGUAACCUCACAAGAACAAAAGUUCUAUUAAGUUUAAUUGAUCAAAUUCUGUAACCUUUUACAAUAAACAAGUAAGCUAUUUAUAAGCCUAAAAUGCCUAUUGAUAUUCGGCAUCUAUGUUGUUCACACAGGUAUUUAACAUGUUCACACAAAUAGCAUUAAAAUUCAUUUCAUGCUUGAAGAUGGUACAUGAAUUGGCCGAACCAUCAUGAUGCUUCACUUGAUGCAUUCAUGCAUCCUUAGCCUUGAAGAAUCUUCAUAAUUCCAUGAAUGUGCAGCUCUUUAAUGAUCCUACAUCUCCCUUGGCUGAAUGAGGCAUUAAUGUGCCUAAAAUACUUGAAUGGUCAUCUUGAAAAUGCAUGAAUCAUGCAUGAAACGUCCCAUGUAUUUUCCCCCAUAAAUAUGAUCCAUGAAUCUUCAAAUACAUGAACUUUCAGCAACUCCCUCUUGCAUGAACGUCCCAAAUGCAUGUGCUCCUUUAAAUGCCAUCCAUUGAACCUCAAUUGUGCAUGCGCACUCCCAUACAUUGCACCAAUCCGUUCAUGAACCUGCAGCAAAUUAAAUCAGCAAGUUAAAUGCAUUUCAAACACAUUAAAUUAGCAGCAUAUGAACUCAAUAAUUUGCACAUUAAAUUUGGCCAUACAUAUUAACAAUUUCAGACAUAUUUAAAACAUCAUAAUUAAUAAAGUAUUUAAGUUAGAUAUAAUUAAAACACUUAAUUAAUUAUUUGUCCAGAUUUAACAAAUUAAUUAACUUAAAAUAAACAACUAAUUCAACUAAAGACAAAUUAAAUGGUUUAUUUCAGGAAAAUAAAAGAAAGCUAAAAAUAAGCUCAUUGGGUUAAGAUUGAGCUGAAUUGAGCUUGAAUGAGUUGACUUGAGCUCGAGUGAGCUGGAAACGAGCUAAACGGAGCUUAACGAAAUGAAAUUGAACUAAUUCAGCUCGCAUGGAUUUGCAAACAAUGCUUAGGGAGCUGAUCCAAAAGUGUGCCCGGGGCAUGGUCGUAUCAUCCCCUCCCUCUUUAAAGCGAUUUGUCCCCAAAUUAGGCCAUUUACUCGCGAAAAAUCGUUGAAGAUUCUGAAAGCCACAAUUAACUCGGAUCAAAAGAAGCUCAUUUGCAUGCCCUCCCUCUUUAGGAGAGUACCACUUCACAUUGUCACCUUUAAAAGAAUAAAAAGAAUUAGUGACACGAUGAAGAUUAAACACAAAGGGACUUUUUGAGAUUUGAUUCACAGUUUGAACAAAUAAUCCAAUACCGGGGUCAAAAACAGAAAUCGUUCUUACCUUUUUCUUCGAUGGAAACAAACAUAAAUCACAAGGCAUUUGAUAGCUAUGGUUUUGGAAGUCAACUUUCCAUGGUUCGAUUACCUUAGGCAAUGAUAUAGAAUGGUGUUCACCAGGGUCAAAGACAAAAUUUUCUCUUGCCAUUUCAAUUUGAUUUGGCAAUUUCAUGACCGACUUCAUAGAAAGAGCACUAAGCAACUCAAAAUCAUUAUCAUUCAAAACAUGUUCGGAUCUUUUAGUCCACAGUUGAGAACAUCCUCCGAAAACAAAAUUUUGAUUUUGACUUAACAAACCAACAAGAUUCACAUGGCUCAUUUUCAAACUUAAAGACAAAGUAUCAUACAAACAAAGAUUGUUUACACAUUCAUUCAAACAAAAUUUACGAUGCUUGCUUUCUUUCAUGGAUGAUUCAUAAUAGCAAACUCCAGGAUUAAAGACAUGAUUUUGACUACUCGAUCCAAAUGGCAAAAAGAGUCCUUUUAUCUCCUACAAUUUACACAAAUUAAACAACGAGGGUGUUAGCAUACUCAAAUUCAAACAAGCAAACCCUUUAAAUUUCAUUCGAAAAGAUUUACAAAAACAUGGAAAUUUCACACCAAAAAUUAGAUAAUCCACAUGAUCAACACAACCAAGCAGAUGAUAUGUCAACUUUUGAUCACACAAUUCCAGAUUUUGUUGGUGCUGAUUUAUUCGCUCUUCAUCAAAAAUCUUGCCAAUGGCGUAUUCAUCAAUAUAUUUCCAUUCCUUUUCAACAUGAUCAGUGAGAAUGAACAUUUUAUAUGGACUUUCAUCUUGCGGAUCCAAAACGUGUAUUCCAUUGCAAGUUAAAGACAAACAACUAAUAUCAUCAAGAAAAUAAUAUUUUUCAAAAGCAAGAAUCUUUUUAUCAUCAGACAAAACAAAUGGGUCAUCAUCAAUCAAAGAAUGACAAGUAGCCACUUCAAAGUUUAGAUUCUUUCUAAAGACCAAAUCAUCAACAGUGUGUCCAUCAACAAUCGAGUAAGGCAGAAGUGCUUUAAAAUUUUUAACAUUCAUACCUUGCUUACCUUUUGGCAUAGGCGAACUAGGAUCGUUGAGAACAUUACCUUUUUCAGCCGAAGUGAACCUUCUCUCCUUCGAGAGGUAUUGGAGUUGAAAAUUAUCGUCACUUGGCCUUCCGGAGACCUGAAAGGAGGAAACAUAACAAGACAAAUUCUCAUGUGGUUUAGUAAACAAAUUCCUCACUUUUUCUUGCUCUUUUGCCUCCUUUUUCUCUCGUUUGUUUUUCUAACUCAUUGUCUUUUCUUUCUUUUUCAAUUUUCUCUUUUUCCUCACACUUUUGUUCAAUCUCAAUUUCUUUUUCGAUUUCUUUCUCUUUUUCACAUCCUUUUUCAAUCUCAAUUUCUUUUUCCAUGACACUCGUUUCUUUUACACUCUCGUUUCUUUCUUCAAUCUCACUCUCUUUUUCAAUUUCUUGUUCUUUUUCUUUUAUUUCUUUUUUUUGUCUCUCGAUUUCAUUCCAUAUAUGCUCAUUUUCUCUCAUCAACAUUUCUUGUCUUUCCUUUCUUCUUAUUUCUUUUUCUUUUUGCCUCGCUCUUUCACUAUAGGAUGGAGAUGUUACAAAUGAAUCAGCACGAAAUGACUCUCGUUGGGUAUAAUUGGAACGACUUUCAUACAAAAAAUGAUCACCUCUUCGAGAUUGAUUCUUGGCGGAUGAAUACCUCGGUGCAUACGAAGGACUACUUGUGAUUUCUCGUUCGUCACCUCAGAAAGCUUCAAACUCAAAACUUGCUUUGCUUCGUCUUGAGUUCCUCGUUGAAUAGGAAUCAUGGUAUGAAUCUCUUCCCAAAAAUCAAUGGAUGUGUGCCUUCGUGAUGAUCUUGUCUCCGUCUCUUCACCCGGUGAGUUUGGCUUCCAUCGGGCUCUUUCCUCCACUCGAUCCAAUCGAUCAUGCAAUUUAUCAAAUUUUGAUUUCAGCAUUCUACGCAUCUCUUGCAUCAAAUAUUGGAAUUCUGAUUCGGGAAAUGUUUCUCGAGACAUGAUUAAGUAAUGACAAGAAGAUGUUAGAAAAAAAUAAUAAAGAAAAUAAAUACCUUACCACAAACCUCACAAAUUCGCUCAAAAAGGAAAUAAUGAUUUUCACUCGCACUCGUGUUUACAUUCAAUUUUUGGAUUUUUCUUUGAUGUAAUUUCACUCAUGCCUUUUUCCACUCAACCUCUUCUCACAAUUUCGUGAUUUGUCUCGGUAGACUUAAUUUGCUGCUUGAGGGUCGGUUUCGAAUUGGUUUACAAAGGAAAUAACGUCAGGUGUAGGGUAGGCUAAACAAAGAACAAAUUUUGUUUAAAGUGUGGCGUUGGGAUGGGUAAAUAAUGGUAGGAAGGGAAACUUGAUGAUCGGAGUAAAUAAGAUAAGAAAAUAAAAACUCGCAAGACUUUUCACUUUUUUUUAACUUGAUUUUUUUUUGCUCACCUUUUUUUCUUUUUUUUUUCUCGAUUUUUUUUCACUUUUUUUUGAAUUUUUUUUCAAUCAAUUUUUUUUGAUUUUUUUUAAUUUCCUCUUCUUUUUUUUUAUUUUUUUGUUCAAUUACAAUAUGCUAAAAUACAAAGGGAAGAGAAAAGAGAAAAAAAAAUUACAACCUGAAUUUUUUUUAUUUUUCUUUCACGUUACGAACCUACUCUGAGCUUGAUACGAAAGUUGGCGCUCCUCGUUUUAGUAGCUCUGAUACCAAAUGAUGUGAUCCAGCCCGAUUGGUUGAGUCGGGUUCACUUAAGAUGUCCGAUCGUCGACGAGAAGCUCAUUCAAAUUUGUAGAUAGAUGGAGUUUGAAUGUUUUAUAAGCGGAAGGUAGGCAAAAUGGGUUCAAAGGAUGGGUUUUGGUUUGAUGAAAGAUAGGUUCGGUUUAACAAAGAAUUAAGUUACAAAGAUGAUAAAUAGAUGGAAAAGGAUAAAGAACUCAAACUUUAAGAAUGAUUCCGAGUCUUAUAUUGCUUAAGGUGAAUUUUGAUGAAGGAUAGAAGCGGACCUUGACCCGUUACCUAUAUGGAGGUAAGAACCAAAGGUAUAGGAAGAUGGUUGAACGCCACACCGAUUCGGUGAUAAGUUCAAUGGAGUUCGGAUUGACACCACUAGCAAGCUAGAUAAGUCGCUUCGAGACUCGAACGAAAGAAGAGAGGAGGUAACCUCACAAGAACAAAAGUUCUAUUAAGUUUAAUUGAUCAAAUUCUGUAACCUUUUACAAUAAACAAGUAAGCUAUUUAUAAGCCUAAAAUGCCUAUUGAUAUUCGGCAUCUAUGUUGUUCACACAGGUAUUUAACAUGUUCACACAAAUAGCAUUAAAAUUCAGUUCAUGCUUGAAGAUGGUACAUGAAUUGGCCGAACCAUCAUGAUGCUUCACUUGAUGCAUUCAUGCAUCCUUAGCCCUGAAGAAUCUUCAUAAUUCCAUGAAUGUGCAGCUCUUUAAUGAUCCUACAUCUCCCUUGGCUGAAUGAGGCAUUAAUGUGCCUAAAAUACUUGAAUGGUCAUCUUGAAAAUGCAUGAAUCAUGCAUGAAACGUCCCAUGUAUUUUCCCCCAUAAAUAUGAUCCAUGAAUCUUCAAAUACAUGAACUUUCAGUAACUCCCUCUUGCAUGAACGUCCCAAAUGCAUGUGCUCCUUUAAAUACCAUCCAUUGAACCUCAAUUGUGCAUGCACACUCCCAUACAUUGCACCAAUCCGUUCAUGAACCUGCAGCAAAUUAAAUCAGCAAGUUAAAUGCAUUUCAAACACAUUAAAUUAGCAGCAUAUGAACUCAAUAAUUUGCACAUUAAAUUUGGCCAUACAUAUUAACAAUUUCAGACAUAUUUAAAACAUCAUAAUUAAUAAAGUAUUUAAGUUAGAUAUAAUUAAAACACUUAAUUAAUUAUUUGUCCAGAUUUAACAAAUUAAUUAACUUAAAAUAAACAACUAAUUCAACUAAAGACAAAUUAAAUGGUUUAUUUCAGGAAAAUAAAAGAAAGCUAAAAAUAAGCUCAUUGGGUUAAGAUUGAGCUGAAUUGAGCUUGAAUGAGUUGACUUGAGCUCGAGUGAGCUGGAAACGAGCUAAAUGGAGCUUAACGAAAUGAAAUUGAACUAAUUCAGCUCGCAUGGAUUUGCAAACAAUGCUUAGGGAGCUGAUCCAAAAGUGUGCCCGGGGCAUGGUCGUAUCACAAGGGAUAUUCCUGCACCAAAUUAAAUCAACAAGUUAGUUCAUGCAACACAUACAUUAAAUUCGGCAGCAUAGGGAUAUAAAAAUCUGCUCAUUUAGUUCGGUCAACUAAAUAAAUAUUUGUGGUAGUUUAAGACAUAUUUAAGGCACUAGACUAAUUAGGACAUAUUAAAUAACACUCAAUAAUUAUUUUGACCAGAAAUUAAACUCAAUUAAUUAACUUAACUAAUUUAACUAACAACUUAAAUAAAUAUUCCAGCAAAAUAAAUAUAAACGCAAUUGAGGUUAAAAUGAGCUGAUUGAGCUAAGAGGGAGCUCGAUGAGCUAAAGUUGAGCUGAAUGAACUUGAAGUAGAUUGCACGGAUUGCUUAAUUUGCUGGCCCAUGAUUUUUCAAGUAGAAUAGCCACGGAUUCACUCCAAGCUCGAUCCACCAAAGUUGAAAUUGCAUUCUUGAACUUAUUAGCUCUAGCUCGAGUAAUGGGUCCUUUUGGUAGCUCAAGGGAAAUAUCAUUAACACUCGAUAGCUAUUGGGUCUCGAUCGCAUCAUUCCCUCCCUCUUCGAGGUGAUUUGCCCCCAAAUCGCUUCCUGCAUCAAACGGAGAAAGAUCAGCAACAUUAAAACUUGCACUAAUGUUAUCAUCACCUGGAAGAUCAAGCUUGUAUGAAUUUUCAUUAAUUCGUUCCAACACUUGAAAGGGACCAUCUCCUCUUGGUAGCAGCUUUGACCUUCCUUGUGCCGGAAAACGUUCUUUUCUGAUGUGAACCCAAACCCAGUCUCCGGGUUCAAACACUAUUUGCUUUCUUCCUUUAUUUGCUGAAUGCAUAUAUUGUUCGGUUUGAGCUUCGAUGUUGGCCUUCACCCUUUGAUGAAGUUUCUUUAUAUAUUCGGCUUUUUUCUUAGCAUCAGAAUGGACAAGCUGAUCAUUGGGCAAAGGAAGCAAGUCUAACAAAGUUAGAGGGUUGAACCCAUACACAACCUCGAAUGGUGAAUGUCUAGUAGCAGAAUGAACGAAUCUGUUGUAAGCAAAUUCUACAUGCGGUAGACAAUCUUCCCACGCUUUGAGGUUCUUUCGAAUAAUUGCCCGCAAUAAGGUUGAAAGUACGCGAUUCACAACCUCCGUUUGUCCAUCCGUUUGAGGAUGACAUGUUGUUGAAAAUAGCAGCUUCGUUCUUAACCUUCCCCAUAGAGUUCUCCUAAAAUGACUUAGGAACUUUGUGUCUCGAUCGGAUAUGAUGGUUUUCGGAACUCCAUGAAGUCGUUCAACCUCCCUAAAGAACAAAUUAGCAAUAUGGACAGCAUCGUCAGUUUUAGAAUAAGCUAUAAAAUGUUACAUUUUGGAAAAUCUAUUGAUACGAGUCAUAAAGGCCCAAUCCAAGUUCAAAAACGUGAUGGGCUCAAAUUGCCACAAGGCCCAAUAACGAGAUCAAAGGCCCGACAAAUGCGGUCCAAACUAAAUGGGACCAUUCAAGAGCUUGUUAGCAAGGCCUUAGAUGCAUACACGAGAGAACAAGAAAAUCAAGAUUCACUUUCUUGUUUUCAAGAAAAUCAAGAAAUCGAAUCUUGGCCCAAUUUUGCUGUUCGAAGAGAUUUCAAGAAUCAAAAAAAUCAAAAUUUCAAAUCUUGGAAAUCUUGGUCCAAGAAACCAAAUCUUGCAGCCAAAACGCAUUGGAUCUCCAUUACGAGCGUCAACGACCCAAUUUUGGUAGGAGAUGGAUCACGAGCCCAAAUUCUUGAAGGCGAGGCCCAAUAACCAAAAUCCAGCCCAAUCAAGAAAUUUCUUCAUACUUAGUUGAAAAUCAGGCCAAAAUGUCAAAGGGCCCAAUUUGUAAACAUCUUACUUGUUUAAUUUAAUUUUUUAAUCUUUAGGAGCAUUACAUGUAAAAUUCGGCCCAAAACAGCCCAUAUAAGUGCAUGGCCGAAUUUACCUUGUUAUUUUAUUAAUUAGGUUUAAUUUUUUAUUAGUUACUUGUGAGAUUAGGAUUUGUUGGAGGCCUAUAUAAGCAUUGGCCAGCCACCCUUUGUAAAAACAUCUUAUUAUCAAUCAAUACAUUAAAUUUCAGUUUGUUAGAGUGCAGAAUUUUCUUUGGGGUUUUCUCCAAGAAUUCUCUCUUGAGCUUUCUUUAGAAGUUGUUUUAACAAUCUUUUGAUUGUGGGAGCCAUCUUCAACCUUCUUCUUGCCAUCGAUAUUCUUUGGAGGGGAGAUUAGAGCCGUUUGAAGAGAUUUGUGAAAUCUUUCGGGAUUUCAAGGAUCUUUAGGACUUAUCCUUUAAUUUUUGCUGUUCAAAUUCUUUUAUUUAAUUCUACUUGUGCCGAAUCUUAAUUCUAAUCUAUUUGCUGUUUUAUUUGUGUUUCCAGCCCUCGUUUAUCUUAAAGAAUUGAUCAAUUUCACUUUUUGCUGGAGUUUGACAAUCAGCCUAAAUCCCCAAAUUCUAGGGUUCUUGCCGAAUGCACACUUAUUCUUCUUGGGUGAAUUUGGUUGUGGAAACUUAGGGGAAACUUUCGUGGUGGUCAAUUGAGCAGAUUGCCCUCGCUUUCUCAGCCUCAAGAGCCGUUUUAUGCCUUCAAUUUCUUUCUUUCUCAUUGACGCAUAAACCCUAAUUUGUUUCAAGAAAUUUUGGUCGAUCUAAUUUGCUUGCUGAUUUAGUGUUCUGACAGAUUCGGCUUGUGGGAGUUCAUUCUUGGGAAUCAAUUUCGUGUUCUUGGUUUCAAGAAACCUCUUUCAUAAGUGUUUCGUUCCUUGAUUAGAUCUUGCUGAUUUUUAGGGUUCUUAUUCCAGAUUUUAAUUUUCCAGAUUUAAUCUCGUUCUUUGUUUGAUUUCAGAUCUGUUCGUUUAGAGCUUUCGUAGGAGUUUCCCGUGACUUGAUGACUCGAUCUUGGUCCGCGCGUGUUCCUAUAUCAUUUGGUAUCAGAUUUUGGGCGUUUUGGGUGUUCUUGGUUGAUUUCUAAACUGAUCUCUAUUUUUUAAAGCAUAAACAGCAGUUUUACCCAGAAAAAUUGUUCAAAAAAAAUUCAUUUGAGUGGGUAAACGUUGUCCGAUUGAUCUGAAAUUUUACAUACAUGUUUUUGGCACUGUGAUUGAAUAUAAAAAAAUUAUUCCCACAAAAAAAUCAGUCAAAAAAGUCAAAAAAAUCAAAAAAUACGAAAUUCAAUAAAAAUUUAAAAAAAGAUUCAGCGGGAUAAAUUUGGUGCCCAAAAUUUCCAGAUCAAAAAUUAAAUAUAUAAGGACACUCCAGAUUUAAUUUCGUUAUUUUUGGAGAUGGAGAACACCUCGAACGAAGUUAUCAAGUUACUCCGCAGUUUUUCGGGUUUUCUGUUUUCAGCAAUUUUUAUUGAUUCUUAGCUGUAGGUUUUCAUUUGUUUACCUUUCUUCUUCCUUUACGUUAUCUAACACCUUCUUGUUUCUUGUGUUAGUAGGAUUUAAACGUGUGCACAACUUCUUCCUCGGUGCAACACGAAUCAAUUGGUGUCUAGUCAGUUUUUGGCAUCCUAGUGCAAAUUAGGAUUCUUUGGUAGUUUGGUUCACACUCUCUAAUUGGUUGAUAUAAACUCUGAUAAAGAACUCACAAGAUUGAAUUCGACCUCAUUGAGAAUUUGAUUUUUUCUUUUUGAGUGAUUAACGGUGAGGUUUGAUAACUUUUAUUUUUGAGUGUUGAGUGUUUAUUUUUUACAGGUUUUUGAAAAUGUCUAAAGGUGAUAAUAAUGAGGACAUAUUUAAAAGAUUCCAACAACAGUUGGACGAACAGGCUGCUGCACUUCGAGCGUUGACUGCUACUAUCAAUGAGGUGCGGUUGAAUCAAGAGCCUCAAUAUCGAUAUCAAAUUAAAGACGAUGUGGAUAACCAGCCUCCUGCUCAUAGACGCGCUCCUCAGCGUGUCCCUAGAACUGAUUAUGAUCUUCAUGAUCGUGGACAACCCUCUUUUGCAAAACCAAAGAGCGAGCAGCAACGAGAACAUCUCUUUCAUACUCGCUGCCAUGUACAAGGUAAGCUUUGUAGAGUUAUUAUUGAUGGUGAAAGUUGCUCGAACGUAGCCAGCACGAUGAUGGUGGAAAAGCUUUGCUUAACCACUACCAAGCAUCCACGACCUUAUCAACUACAAGGGCUUAGCAACGAAAGCCAAUUUAAGGUCACUCAACAAGUGCGCAUCGCCUUUUCUAUCAGUAAGUAUCAAGAUGAAGUCGUGUGCGACGUAGUACCUAUUCAAGACUGCCAUUUGUUGCUAGGAGAACCAUGGCAACUAGAUCGAAAGGUCACUCACGAUGGUCGUACCAAUAGGUAUUCUUGAUGUGAUCCGGCUCGGUUGAUUGAGUCGAUUCACUUGAUUUCUUUUCAAGCUCUCUUUCAAUUUCUUUUUUCGCUUUUUCUUUUUCAAUUUUUUUUUCAUUCUCAAUUUCUUUUUCAAUUUUCUUUUCUUCAUUUUCUUUUUCUCUCACUUUUUCGAUUUCUUUUUCAAUCUCUUUCUCCUUUUCUCGGUCAAUGGAUUGCUUCAUUUUGAAUUGGUCUUCUUGCACUUGUUCCGGUGUGAGCGGCGCUAAAGUGACUUUCCUUCCUUGAUGCUUGAAGGAAUACCUAUUGGUACGUUCAUCGUGAAUGACCUUGCGAUCCGAUUGCCAUGGUUCUCCUAGCAACAAAUGGCAGACUUGAAUAGGCACAACAUCACAAAGGACUUCGUCUUGGUAUCUUCCGAUGGAAAAUGCAACACGCACUUGUUGAGUAACUUCAAAUUUGCCUUCAACACCAAGUCCUUGCAGUUGAUAGGGUCGUGGAUGCUUGGUAGUGGCCAAGCCAAGUUUUUUUACCGUUCGAAUACUAGCCAUGUUUGACCUACUUCCACCAUCAAUAAUGAGGCAACAAACUUUAUCGUGGACACGGCAAUGCGUGUGAAACAUAUCUUCACAUUGUGGUUCAUUUUCCAAUCUUUGAAGGAUUGCACUAAUCUUGAUGUCAACGAUAGUAGAUGUCAAAUCUUCUUUAUCUUUGUCGAAUUGUCGAAAUUCAGAUCGCAUUAUCCUUUGCAUUUCUUGUCUCCACAUUUGGAAUUCAAAUUCAGAAAAUUCUUCAGACAUGCUUCAACAAAAUAUUAGAAAACAAAAGUUAAAUUAGAAAGAAAAAUAAUUCUCACCACAAAUCUCUCAAAUUCGCUCAAAAAGAAAAAUUCACUCACUCGUGUUUGAACUCUCUUUUAGGCUUUUUUUUUCGAAUGAACUCACGCUCUCUUGCCUUUUACCACUCGACCUCGUCUCACAAAUUCGUAAUUCGUCUCGAUAGACUUAAUUUGCUGCUUGAGGGUCGGUUUCAAAAUGGGUUACAAGGGAUAAUGUCGGUGUAGGGUAGGCUAAACAAAAUAAAAUCAAGGCUAAGUGUGGCGUUGGGAUGGGUAAAUAAUGGUAGGAAGGGAAACUUGAUGAUCGGAGUAAAUAAGAGAAGAAAAUAAAAAUUCGCAAGACUUUUCACUGUUUUUUUUAACUUGAUUUUUUUGUCACUUCUUUUUUUUCUUUUUUUUCGAUUUUUUUUUUGAAUUUUUUUUUGAAUUUCUUCUCUUUUUUUUAAAUCCAAUACAAUAGUAAACAAAAUACAAGGAAGAGAAAAAAAAAUUAAAUUCCAACUCAAAUUUUUUUGUUUUUUUUUACUUUUUUUUAACAUUACGAACCUACUCCGAGCUUGAUACGAAUGUCAGCACUCCUCGUUUUAGUAGCUCUGAUACCAAAUGAUGUGAUCUGGCCCAGAUUAAUUGAGUCGUUUCACGUAAUUGCCCGAUCGUCGACGAGGAAUAGUUGAGUUAUCGAAAAUAGGAUGAAAUAAGGCUAAAGAUGCGGAAGCUUUGAAAUGGUUUUAAAGGUUGGCUAAGGUGAUGGUAAAUUUAUAAGGGUAGUAGGCUCGAUUUAAGGAUAAAAAUAAGAAAAAUGGAAGUUGAUAAAUGAAGGCUCGGUUUUGUAAAAAGAUAUUAUAGUUGGGUAAAAUCUAGGAUAGUCGGUGGAAUGGAUAAAUGAGCUUAAACGCCAGAAACGAUUCAACACUAAAAAGUGUCACCCCGAUUUCUAUUUGGUUCAAGGUGGGAUUGCGGAAUUGUAGAAGGGUUGAACGCCACACCAAAGCAAGGUGAUAAGUUCAAAAGAGAACGAUAGACGCCAUUAGCAUGCUAGAUAAGUCAGAUCGAGACUCGUACGAAAUAGGAUAGGAGGAAACCUCACAAUCAAGUUUUCAAUAAUCAAAUUCUGUAACCUUUUACAAUAAACAAAAUAAACUAUUUAUAGGCUCUCUAAUCGGGUUGACGCCACUAGCGAGCUAGAUAAGUCAGAAUGAGACUCGUACGAAAUAGGAUAGGAGGAAACCUCACAAUCAAGUUUUCAAUAAUCAAAUUCUGUAACCUUUUACAAUAAACAAAAUAAACUAUUUAUAGGCUCUCUAAUGCCUAUUAAAAUUCAGCUACUAAUGUGUUCACACAACAAUUAAAAAUGUUCACACUUCAAGCAUUAAAUCUCUGUUCAUGGAUAGUGUAAGUUCAUGCAUGGUUGAAUAAUCAUGUUUCUUCCCAAAACCCGUUCAUGCAUGCUUAACCAAUAAGAAAGCUUCCUUGUUCCAUGAAUGUGCAUCUUCAAUUCAUAUCCAACCCCUCUUGGACGAAUGCUAGGUGCAUGGGUCAUGCAUCUCUCUUAAUUAAAACUUUAAUGAUGGGCUGGUUCAUGAAUGGAAGCAUGUACCUUGUAAAUUCGUUCUCCCCUUUGUACAUGCACAUUAUACAUUCAAUGUGAUGAAUUAAGGUAAUAUUCCCUCCCUUUGGACGUUCAUGAAUCCACCCAUACAUAUAUAGGAGCUGAUUGGUCAAAUUGAGGUGUGAAUGGCUUAGAUGCUGCCUUGGGAAUACGAUCGGCCAAGCUUGUGCUUUAAUUUGCUGGACACCUUUUGGCCAAAUAGGUGCCUUGGGGAGCCAAAUGGAUCAGCCACCAUUCAUUGAAAGAGGCCUUUACAUGCACCGUCCCAUACAUUGAACCUAUCAUGCAUGAACCUUGUUUAAUUACUCUCCAAAUUCAACUCACCUACAAAAACACAUGAACCAAAAUUAAAUCACAUAAAAUUCAGCUGAACAAACAUUAAUAUAAUUUAGACACACUAAUUAAACAUAAAUUAAAUUAGACAAAUUUAAUAAAGUCUUAACAAGACAUAUUAAAUUCGGCCAAGACACAUUUAAAACAUGUAAUAAGUCAAAACAUAAUUAUGAGCUGUAGUAAUUUAAGCUAAAUUAAUAAAUUACUUAAUUUAUUCAGACAUUAAAAUAAAUGAGUUGAAAUAAACUUAAGCCAAGCUCAAACGAGCUAAAGUAAGCUAAAUUGAGCUCAAACGAGCUAAAUUAAGCUCAUGUGAGCUAAAUCGAGCUGGGAAAAACUAAGAUUGAGCUUGUUAAGCUGAGAUUGAGCUUCAUCUUGCACUUGGGGCCCUCGUGUUUAGGCCAAUCAUGAUAGCAACGAGUGGUGCCAAAACAUGAUGCGAUUGAGAUCACAUCAAUUCUUUCAAGUAUCAAGGAAGGAAAAUCACCUUAGUGCCGCUCACUCCGGAACAAGUCCAUGAGGACCAAAUCAAACUGAAAAAUUCUGUUGUUAAAACAAGUGAGGAAAAAGAAAAAGAGAAUGAAAAAGAGUAAAAAGAGAUUGAGAGUGAAAAGGAAUGUGAAACAGAAAAUAAAAUUGAAAAAGAAGUUGAAGAAAGAAGAGAAAAUGAGUUAGAAAAAGAAAUAAAAGAAAAAGACGAGGAAAGGCUAGUGAGGAAUGUUUUCACUAACCAAGAUAUGAAUUUUUCUUGUGUUGCUACUUUUCAGGUUCCCGAAGGACCGAAAGAUAACUUUCAACUUCAAUACCUCUCAAAUGAAAGACGCUUCCAUACGAUCAACUUAGGCAAACAUGAAAUCACACUACAUGAUCCCGAAGGUAAGCGAGGUAAGGAAAUUUUAGAAACCGAGUCCAGUGCAGAUUUGAAAAUUAUUGAUAAAACUUUUGGUGACUUAGUUCUUAAAAGAUCCCCUCAUUUUGAUCCGAUUAAUUGUUACUCUUCGAUUGUGGUUGAUAAAGUCAUUACGAAAAGAAGCGUGAUUUGUUAUUCUCUUGAUUUUCCUUGUGUAAAAUCCUCGAAUUUGUCCAAAUCUGUUUUGGAGAAUAAGGUAACGAAAUUUUCCAAAUUUGUUUUCAAUUUAUAUUCGUGCCUUAAACAGUUUAUGUGGUUGUACAUGAAGUUUGAGUUCCAUUUGACAAAGGUUAACUCAACAACGGAGAUUCGACUACACUAUGCCCUCGAUGAGCGAAGGUUUGUUUUAAAUGAAAAAGGUAAAAUCGACCCUUAUUCUUUUGCUUAUCAAGGUAAGAUGCUUGAAACCUUUGAAACACUUUUGUACUCCUCGGAUAGCGACAAAGAUUGUGUUGAUGAACACUUAGAUCGAAACGUGCUUGACUGUCCUAUUUUAUUUAUUGAUGAUAAAUCUAUUUUGAUGGUUGAUAAAAAGAUUCUUGUUUUUGAUAAUGCAUGUGUGAGUGAAUCUAUAAACCGUUGAUUAAUGCAUGGUAAUCUGAAUCUGCCUAUUCACAUGCGUUAUACCUGUUCUAUUAUGCUUAUAAUUGGACUACAAGCUUGUUUGCAUUGCUAUUUACUAUUUCAUGGCUAUUCAUUUUAGUGGACUCAAUUGCCAUUAGUCCCAUUCGAUCGAGGAAAGUCGAGUUCAUUUGAUUUUUUAGAUUCGAGGAUGAAUCUUUUUGAGGAAGGGGGGAAAGAUACGAGUCAUAAAGGCCCAAUCCAAGUUCAAGAACGUGAUGGGCUCAAAUUGCCACAAGGCCCAAUAACGAGAUCAAAGGCCCGACAAAUGCGGUCCAAACUAAAUGGGACCAUUCAAGAGCUUGUUAGCAAGGCCUUAGAUGCAUACACGAGAGAACAAGAAAAUCAAGAUUCACUUUCUUGUUUUCAAGAAAAUCAAGAAAUCGAAUCUUGGCCCAAUUUUGCUGUUCGAAGAGAUUUCAAGAAUCAAAAAAAUCAAAAUUUCAAAUCUUGGAAAUCUUGGUCCAAGAAACCAAAUCUUGCAGCCAAAACGCAUUGGAUCUCCAUUACGAGCGUCAACGACCCAAUUUUGGUAGGAGAUGGAUCACGAGCCCAAAUUCUUGAAGGCGAGGCCCAAUAACCAAAAUCCAGCCCAAUCAAGAAAUUUCUUCAUACUUAGUUGAAAAUCAGGCCAAAAUGUCAAAGGGCCCAAUUUGUAAACAUCUUACUUGUUUAAUUUAAUUUUUUAAUCUUUAGGAGCAUUACAUGUAAAAUUCGGCCCAAAACAGCCCAUAUAAGUGCAUGGCCGAAUUUACCUUGUUAUUUUAUUAAUUAGGUUUAAUUUUUUAUUAGUUACUUGUGAGAUUAGGAUUUGUUGGAGGCCUAUAUAAGCAUUGGCCAGCCACCCUUUGUAAAAACAUCUUAUUAUCAAUCAAUACAUUAAAUUUCAGUUUGUUAGAGUGCAGAAUUUUCUUUGGGGUUUUCUCCAAGAAUUCUCUCUUGAGCUUUCUUUAGAAGUUGUUUUAACAAUCUUUUGAUUGUGGGAGCCAUCUUCAACCUUCUUCUUGCCAUCGAUAUUCUUUGGAGGGGAGAUUAGAGCCGUUUGAAGAGAUUUGUGAAAUCUUUCGGGAUUUCAAGGAUCUUUAGGACUUAUCCUUUAAUUUUUGCUGUUCAAAUUCUUUUAUUUAAUUCUACUUGUGCCGAAUCUUAAUUCUAAUCUAUUUGCUGUUUUAUUUGUGUUUCCAGCCCUUGUUUAUCUUAAAGAAUUGAUCAAUUUCACUUUUUGCUGGAGUUCGACAAUCAGCCUAAAUCCCCAAAUUCUAGGGUUCUUGCCGAAUGCACACUUAUUCUUCUUGGGUGAAUUUGGUUGUGGAAACUUAGGGGAAACUUUCGUGGUGGUCAAUUGAGCAGAUUGCCCUCGCUUUCUCAGCCUCAAGAGCCGUUUUAUGCCUUCAAUUUCUUUCUUUCUCAUUGACGCAUAAACCCUAAUUUGUUUCAAGAAAUUCUGGUCGAUCUAAUUUACUUGCUGAUUUAGUGUUCUUUGACAGAUUCGGCUUGUGGGAGUUCAUUCUUGGGAAUCAAUUUCGUGUUCUUGGUUUCAAGAAACCUCUUUCAUAAGUGUUUCGUUCCUUGAUUAGAUCUUGCUGAUUUUUAGGGUUCUUAUUCCAGAUUUUAAUUUUCCAGAUUUAAUCUCGUUCUUUGUUUGAUUUCAGAUCUGUUCGUUUAGAGCUUUCGUAGGAGUUUCCCGUGACUUGGCAACUCGAUCUUGGUCCGCUUGCAACUCCAUAUCAUCUAUCUACAACAACAAAGAUAGAGUCCUUCCCCGUUUUGGUCCUUGGUAGUCCUAGGACCAAAUCCAUUGAAAGAUCGACCCAUGGUGCGUUAGAUAUGGGCAAUGGUUUGUAGAGUCCAUGCGGAUUGAUUUUGGACUUGGCCUUCUUGCAAGUUAUACAUUGGCUACAGACCCGCUCAACAUCUUUUCUCAUCCCAGGCCAAAAGAAAUGCUCAUGGAGGGUUGACAACGUCUUAGCCACCCCAAAAUGGCCCAUGAUUCCACCACCAUGUGCCUCAAUCACCAACAAUUUCCGUAUUGAGCUUUGCAGAAUACAUAGCUUGCCUUCGCGGAAAAGAAAUCCAUCAAACCUGAAAAACUUAUCAACAGCUUUGUUUUCACAAGAUUUAUAAAUAUCACCAAAAUCAAUAUCACCAUCAUACAAUUCCUUCAAAAAGGAAAAUCCAAGCAAUUUUGAAUCCAAAUAUGAUAGCAAAGUAUAUCAUCGAGAUAACGCGUCAGCCACAAUAUUUUCCUUACCUUUCUUAUAUUUACUGAUAUAACGAAACGAUUCUAAAAACUCUACCCAUUUGGCGUGCCGUUUGUUCAACUUUGCUUGUCCCUUAAUAUGUUUCAACACCUCAUGAUCCGAGUGUAUGGCAAACUCUUUUGGCCAUAAGUAGUGCUGCCAUGUCUCGAGAGCUCAAAUUAGAGCAUACAUUUCCUUGUCGUACGUCGGAUAGUUGAGAACGGCUCCAUUUAACUUCUCACUAAAGUAUGCCACGGGCCUUCCAUCUUGUGUUAAAACGGCUCCAAUUCCGACACCUGAUGCAUCACAUUCAACUUCAAACAUUUUAGCAAAAUCAGGUAACACAAGUAAUUGAGCAUUAGUUAAACAUGAUUUAAUGGCAAUAAAAGAUUUUUCUUAUUCCUCAUUCCAAUAGAAAGCAGACAACUUUUUGAUCACACUAGUUAAAGGUGCUGCCAAGGUACUAAAAUUUGGAACAAAUCGUCGAUAGAAGCUUGCCAAUCCGUGGAAGCUCCUCACUUGGCUAAUGCUCGUGGGUCUAGGCCACUCUCGAAUGGCUUUCACCUUUUCUUGAUAAACUCCAGUCCUUCCGAGCUGACCACGAAUCCUAAAAAAUAACCUUGUUAGUACAAAAAGUACAUUUCUUAAGAUUAGCAAACAAAGAUUCUUUUCUAAGCACAUCCAAAACAGAUUUUAAAUGCAACAAAUGGUCAUCUAAGGAUUUGCUAUAGAUAAGUAUAUCAUCAAAAUAGACAACACAAAAUUUUCCGAUGAAAGAACGAAGAACAUGGUUCAUCAAGCGCAUGAAAGUCCUGGGCACAUUGGUAAGCCCGAAUGGCAUAACCAGCCACUCGUAGAGCCCAUGCUUCGUCUUAAAAGCGGUUUUCCACUCGUCCCCUUCACGCAUCCAAAUUUGGUGGUAUCCGCUCUUUAGAUCAAUUUUAGAAAACAAUCGAGCACCACUCAAUUCAUCCAACAUAUCAUCGAGUCGCGGUAUUGGAUGUCGAUACUUAAUAGUGAUCUUAUUCACCGCGCGACAAUCUACGCACAUACGCCAUGUUCCAUCCUUCUUUGGCACCAAUAAAACCGGUACGGCGCAUGGACUAAGACUUUCUCGUAUAUAUCCCUUCUCCAUAAGUUCAUUGACUUGUUUUUGCAAUUCUUUGGUCUCUUCGGGAUUUGUACGAUAAGCUGGACGAUUGGGAAUAGAGGCUUUGCGAAUGAAAUCAAUUUGAUGUUAUAUUCCUCGAAUGGGCGGUAACCCAUUAGGAAUGUCUUCCAGAAACACGUCCUCGAAUUCCUGCAAAAGAGAAACAAUCGAAGAGGGCAAAUUUGGAUCCAACUAGUUAGUAGUCAAAAGAGUUUCCUUGUACAUAAGUACAAGAACCGAUUGCUGCGUCAAAUAAGAUUUCCUAAAAUCACUCUCUCUUGCAUAAACACUCAUCUUCUUUUGCUCUUCUUCCUCUCUCUUUUUUUUGUCGAUCGAUUUAUUUUUUUCUCUCACAUUUUUCAUUUGUUUUUCUUUUUUCUUCUCAAUAUGUUUUUCACUCUCUUUUUCAUUCUUUUCUUUAUGUACAUUUUCUUGAAAUUUCUCUACACUCUCUCUUAGUUUCAAUUGAUCUUCAUAAACUUGCCUCGGCGUCAUGGGAACCAAAGUUACAUUUUUCCCAUCGUAUUUGAAGGUGUAGCGGUUUGUGAAACCAUCAUGAAUGACUUUGCGAUCAAAUUGCCAUGGACGACCCAAUAACAUAUGACCAGCGUGCAUGGGUACUACGUCGCAUAGAACUUCGUCGAAAUAUUUUUCGAUAGUGAACGACACCAAAACUUGCUUAGUUACCUUCAACUCCCCUCCAUCAUUAAGCCAUUGAAGUUUGUAGGGUUGAGGGUGCUUAGUUGUUGGCAAGCUGGGUUUUUCAACCAUUAAAGUGCUAGCCACAUUUGAACAACUCCCGCCAUCCACAAUCAAGCUACACACCUUGCCUUGGACAUGGCAACGUGUAUGAAAAAUGUUCUCCCUUUGUUGUUCAUUUUCAACACUUUGAAGACUAAGGCUUCGUUUAAUAACGAGAAUUUCACCUUCAACGGCGUAUUCAAGUUCAUCCUCUUCCUCCUUUUCGGCCAUUUCAUUGGGUUCUUCGUCAUCUUCUUCUUCCGAUUCAAUUUCUCCAUUAGCCCGCACAAUCAUGUUGGUUCAGUUAGGGCAUUGACUCGCAAUGUGGCCCCUCCCUAAGCACUUAAAACACUUUAUUUCUCGUGAUCGAUUCGGUAUAGCAACUUCUUUGCCUUUGCUUGUUUCACCAACAGGUUUACUCACCUUAGAAGACAAAGGGUGAUCUUUAGUGCGAUUAGAGAAGUCUUUCUUACCCGUGCCUUGGUUCAACCUUUGAGGAUUGUUGGUGCUAGGAAAGGUUCGGCUAGAACUUUUUCUUUUCAAUUGCUUUUCAACUUUGAUAGCAACAUGCACCAUAUCAACAAUGUCAACGUAGUGUUGAAGCUCCACCACAUUGGCUAUGUCACGAUUAAGUCCGACCAAAAAUCGAGCCAUGGUUGCUUUGCGAUCUUCAUCCACGUUCACUCGUAUCAUGGCAAUCUCCAUUUCUUUAAAGUAGUCCUCCACGCUUCGAUUUCCUUGCGUAAGAUUUUGCAACUUUUGGUAAAGUUCACGAUAAUAAUAAGAAGGUAUAAAUCUCCUACGCAUUACGGCUUUCAUUUCAGUCCAAGUUGAGAUUGGCCGCUCCCCGUUCCUUCUUCGACUUGUAGUAAGUUGAUCCCACCAUAUCAUUGCGUAAUCGGAGAACUCAAUUUCUGCCAAUUUCAACUUUUUGCUCUCCGAGUAGUUGUGACACUCGAAGACCAUCUCGAUUUUUCUCUCCCAUUCUAGAUAAGCUUUCGGAUCAGAUUUCCCAUGAAAGGGAGGAAUGGAUAGCUUAAUACUUUUUAAAUCAUCAUCAACUUGGCCUCGAUCUCUAGGACCCCUAUUUCUUUGACCUCGUCGUCUCUCGUUUUGAUUCAACUCUUGGUUGCUUUCCACCUCGCUUGGCUCGUAGGGAUCAUCCACGAAAGGUCUUGCUCGCCCUCGCCCCCAUCUCGGUCCUUAAGGGGUUCCUUCUCGUGUUGGUCCUCCUUCCACUCGAUCGAGUCUCUCAUUAAUAUAUUCAAGUUUAGUUCGAAGCAUUCGUUGGAAUUCCCUUAAGAGGUCUUGUUGACCUAAAUCGGGAACUCCUCCUCCGACAUUUCUUAUCGGUUGUCUUUCGGUCCUUUCCGUAACAUUUUGCUCGGGAUUUUGAGACAUAAUAAAGAUUCCUCACCACAAAGACUCACGUUCACUCAGAAAAGAAAGAAAGAACGACACUUACGCUCGUGUUUACACUCUUUGGCUUUUACCUCCUCUCGAAUAUGCUCACACACUCGUGCCUUUUUCCUCUCGUUUCUUCUCUUAUAAUUUCGUAUAAGACUUGGUAGGGCUUGAUCUUUAGUUUAGAAGGUCGGCUUCAAAAGGUUUGCAAAGGAAAUUCAUAUGGUUUAGGGUAGGCUCGAAAGAAAGAAAGGUUUAAAGGUGUGGCGUAUAAAAUGGUUUCACUAAUUGGAAAAGAAGAAUAAAAUUUUUUUUAAUAGCGUGAAAUUUCACCAAGAGGGAUAUUAAGGAGUGUAGAAUGUGAUUUUGGAAAUUUUUUUGUUGAAGUGUCUCCAGACUCUUUUUUUUACGGAUCUUUCACGUUCUUUUCGUCCGCACCUAGACCGUAUAAAUUUUUUUCUUUUUUUCAAUUUUUUUUGAUUUUUUUUUUUCGAUUUUUUUUCAAAUUUUUUUCACGAGUCUACUUUCUUCGGCUUUUCUCAAACGUCCAAACUCCUCGUUUUAACCAGCUCUGAUACCAAAUGAUGCGAACCAGCCUCGGUUUAAUGAGUUGAAUCACUUUUUUUGCCCGAUCGUCCAAACGAUGAAGUUUCAUUCUUCUUGAGUCAAUUCGUUCUACUUGAUCAAUGAAGUCAUUUGAGGUUCAAUUGAGAUUAAAGAAAGUGAUUUGUAAGGUAUUUCGGCUAAGAAAGAAAUAACGAAUUUGGAUAGGUGAUGAUUCAGUUUUAAAGGUAUAUGGAAUGAUUGGCUUAAAAACAAGAAAGAACCAACACUAAAUGUAGUUGAGUGUUGACCCGUUUCCUAUAUGCUUUUAAGAUGGUUCGGUAGUGAAAUAGAUAGAAUUAACCUCGACCCGCUACCUAUUGAAGAUAGGAACCUCGGUAUAGUUGAACGCCACACUUUGGUUGAAAGUGAUAAGUUCGGGUUGCAAAGAACAAAGGUUGACGCCACUAACUAGUAGAUAAGCCAACUAAGUCUUUGGACGAAAUUGAGAGAAGAAUUCCUCACAAAAUACUUAAUUCAAUAAUCAAAAUGGCAAAAGUCCUUUUACAAAUAAACAAGCAAAUAUUUAUAGUUCUUCAAAGGCUAGCCGAAUAGACAAACUUAAAAGCUAAGAAAAAUCAAGAAAAUUCCAGAAUUAAUUCCUCAAGAAGAUUCGGCUGAAUGGGCAUUCAAAUGGACAGCUUAAGCAUGAAGCAAAUGCACCUUGCAAAGAUGAAUGCAUCGGUAGAUCAAUGCUCUUGUCCAGGUUCGGCCUUGCUCUUAAAUUACUCCUUAAAUUGGCACUUGUUGGCUGAAAAGAUAGGAACAUUAAAGAUAGUUGUUGAACAGCCACACAAGUGUGAAAAGUCGGUUCUGAAGAGUCAAAUAUGUGUGAACAUUAUCAGCUGAAUAGUCCCCCAUGUGAACACUUAAAAUAGGCUGAAUGUAGAUGUUUAAGGAUGGCAAAUUCGGCUGAAUAUUCAUUUGGUAGUGCCAUGCAUGUUUCGGCCAAAUACAAUGAACCUUAGGUGCAUGCACCCAUGCCGUCCAAGGGAGAUUCCUGCACCAAAUUAAAUCAACAAGUUAGUUGAUAUGGGGUUGCGCGCGGACCAAGAUCGAGUUGCCAAGUCACGGGAAACUCCUACGAAAGCUCUAAACAAACAGAUCUGAAAAUUAAAACAAAGAACAAGAUUAAACUAAUCAGAUCUAAAAUUAAAUCCCCAAAUUCAAUUAAAUGAGCAGCAAGGAACAAAGAACGAAUGAAUAAAUGUAUUCGGAGUUCAAGAAGAUGAAGUCGAACUCCAAUAGUGAAAUCCCACAAGCCGAAUCUGCCCAAGAACAAACUGACAAUAAAAACCCCAAAUUCCAGCAACUUGAUUUCCCCAAAAUCAGAAUGUAUUAAUCGACAAGAACCCUAGGAUUUAGGGAUUUUGGUUCGAAACUUUACUGCCCAAAAGUAGACCGAUUAAAUGGAAGGAUCUUGGAGUUAAACAAAGCUGAAACACAAGCAAGAACAGCAAAAAAAGAUUAGAUAAUGAAUCGGCACAAGUAGGAAUAAAGAAACAAAUCGAAAUAGCAAGAAAUAAAGAAAAGUCCUAAGAACCCUUGAAUUCCCGAAAGAAUUCACAAAUUCCUUCAAACGGCUCUAAUCUCCCCUCCAAAGAAUAUCGAUGGCAAGAAGAAGGUUGAAGAUGGCUCCCACAAUCAAAAGAUUGUUAAAACAACUUCUAAAGAAAACUCAAGAGAGAAUUCUUGGAGAAAACCCCAAAGAAAAUUCUACACUCAACAAAUCUGAAAUUUGAUAGAAAAAAUAAUAAUAAGAUGUUUUUACAAAGGGUGGCUGGCCAAUGCUUAUAUAGGCCUCCAACAAAUCCUAAUCUCACAACUAACUAAUAAAAAAUUAAACCUAAUUAAUAAAAUAACAAGGUAAAUUCGGCCAUGCACUUAUAUGGGCUGUUUUGGGCCGAAUUUUACAUGUAAUGCUCCUAAAGAUUAAAAAAUUAAAUUAAACAAGUAAGAUGUUUACAAAUUGGGCCCUUUGACAUUUUGGCCUGAUUUUCAACUAAGUAUGAAGAAAUUUCUUGAUUGGGCUGGAUUUUGGUUAUUGGGCCUCGCCUUCAAGAAUUUGGGCUCGUGAUCCAUCUCCUACCAAAAUUGGGUCGUUGACGCUCGUAAUGGAGAUCCAAUGCGUUUUGGCUGCAAGAUUUGGUUUCUUGGACCAAGAUUUCCAAGAUUUGAAAUCUUGAUUUUCUUGAUUCUUGAAAUCUCUUCGAACAGCAAAAUUGGGCCAAGAUUCGAUUUCUUGAUUUUCUUGAAAACAAGAAAGUGAAUCUUGAUUUUCUUGUUCUCUCGUGUAUGCAUCUAAGGCCUUGCUAACAAGCUCUUGAAUGGUCCCAUUUAGUUUGGACCGCAUUUGUCGGGCCUUUGAUCUCGUUAUUGGGCCUUGUGGCAAUCCGUAUGACUCGUAUCAUUCCCCCUUCCUCAAAAAGAUUCGUCCUCGAAUCUAAAAAAUCAAAUGGGGACAAGUCAGCCACAUUAAAAGUAGAACUUACAUUGUACUCACCAGGUAGAUCAAUUUUAUAGGCAUUAUCGUUGAUCCGCUCGAGUACUUGGAAAGGCCCAUCGCCCCUUGGGUCCAACUUAGUCUUCCUUUUUGUAGGAAAUCGUUCUUUCCUCAAAUGGACCCAAACCCAAUCUCCGGGUUCUAGUACAACCCGUUUGCGCCCUUUGUUUGCUUUGUUGGUGUUGGCGUCAUUUGUUUUGGCUAUUUGCUGUCUAGCCUUCUCAUGUAAGGAUUUCACCAACUCAGCUUUCUGUUCGCCAUCUAAAUUCAUAACGUGUUCAAGAGGUAAUGGCGCAAGAUCAAGUACUGUUAGUGGGUUAAAACCAUAAACAAGUUCAAAUGGGGAAUAACCAGUUGUAGAAUGAAGAGAUCUAUUAUAUGCAAAUUCAACAAAUGGUAGGCAUUCUUCCCAAUUUCUAAUGUUCUUUCCCACAACAGCUCGUAAUAAAGUCCCUAAGAUUCGAUUAACUACUUCAGUUUGACCAUCAGUUUGGGGGUGACAUGUAGUAGAAUAAAGCAAUUUAGUACCAAGCUUACCCCACAAUACCUUCCAAAAGUGGCUAAGGAAUUUGACAUCUCUAUUAGAAACAAUUGUUUUAGGGAUGUCAUGAAGUCUUACCACUUCUUUAAAGAAUAAGUCUGCCACAUGUGUAGCAUCAUCUGUUUUGUGACAAGGAAUAAAAUGUGACAUCUUUGAAAACCUGUCAACAACAACAAAUAUACUAUCUCUUCCUUUUUUUGUUCGAGGCAAACCUAAAAUAAAAUCCAUGGAUAAAUCUACCCAAGGUGAAGUAGGAAUCGGUAGAGGAGUGUAAAGGCCAUGAGGCAUUACCUUAGAUUUUGCUUGUUUGCAUGUAAUGCACUUGGAACAUACCUUUUCCACAUCCUUCUUCAUAUGUGGCCAAUGGAAGUGUUCUUGCAAUAUGUCUAGUGUUUUGGCCACUCCAAAAUGUCCCAUUAAUUCCCCACUAUGGGCUUCAUGAAUCAACAAUUCUCUCAUGGAACACUUUGGUAUGCAUAACCUGUUUAAACGAAAAAGAAAGCCAUCUACAAGAUAAAAUUUUUCAAAAGCAGUAUGUCCACAAUUCUUAUAGAUAUGGCUGAAAUCAGUAUCAUCAUCAUAUAACUCUUUAAUAUGUUCAAACCCUAAGACUUUAGCAUUCAAUGUAGUUAUUAAAGUAUAUCGUCUAGACAAAGCAUCUGCGACUACAUUAUCUUUACCUGUUUUAUAUUGAAUCACAUAAGGGAAUGUUUCAAUGAAUUCUACCCAUCGGGCAUGUCUUUUACUCAACUUACCUUGUCCCUUUAACCAUUUAAGAGACUCAUGAUCUGUAUGUAUGACAAACUCAUUAGGCCGCAAAUAAUGUUGCCAUACUUGAAGUGCACGAACUAAUGCCAAUAGUUCUUUGUCAUAAGUCGAGUAAUUUAACUGUGCACCGUUCAAUUUCUCACUAAAAUAAGCAAUAGGUUGCUUAUCUUGCAUCAAAAAAGGCGCCGAUUCCAAUUCCUGAAGCAUCACACUCAAGUUCAAAAGUUUUAGCAAAAUCAGGUAAUUUAAGCAAAGGAGCAGAACAUAACUUAGCUUUUAGAGUUUGAAAAGCUUUUUCUUGGGUUUCACCCCAUUUGAAACCCACUGAUUUCUUUAUAACUUCAGUCAAUAGGGCAGCAAGAGUAGAGAAAUCUUUCACAAAUCGUCUAUAAAAACUGGCUAAACCAUGGAAAGAUCUCACCUCAGUUAUCGAUUUAGGAGUCGGCCACUCCUUAAUUGCCUUAACUUUGUCCUCGUCGACAUGAAUACCUUGAGCACUAACUUGAAACCUAAGAAUAUUAGUUUAUCAUAACAGAAUGUGCAUUUAUCAAGGUUGGCAAAUAAUCUUUCAGUUCGUAGAAUAUCCAAAACGGUUCGAACAUGGAAAACAUGAUCAUCUAAUGACUUUGAGUAAAUUAAAAUAUCAUCAAACUAAACUACUACAAAUUUACCCAAAUGUAGCCUCAAAACAUGAUUAAUUAAUCUCAUAAAUGUACUAGGUGCAUUAGUAAGGCCGCAAGGCAUAACUAACCAUUCAUACAAUCCAAAUUUUGUUUUAAAGGCUGUUUUCGAUUCAUCCCCUUCCCUCAUUCGAAUUUGAUGAUAACCGCUUUUUAAAUCAAUUUUUGUAAAUAUUAUUGAACCAUGUAAUUCAUCAAGCAUAUCAUCAAGUCUAGGGAUUGGGUGUCGAUACUUUACCGUUAUCUUGUUGAUUGGGCGACAAUCAACACACAUACGAAACGUACCAUCUUUCUUUGGCACCAAUAAGACAGGAACAGCACAAGGACUUAGGCUCUCACGAAUGUACCCUUUAUCUAGUAAUUCCUCAACUUGCCUUUGCAAUUCCUUUGUCUCCUCGGGAUUGCAUCUAUAGGCUGGUCGAUUUGGGAUUGAAGCUCCGGGUACUAAGUCAAUUUGAUGUUCUAUCCCUCGUAAAGGUGGUAAACCUUUAGGGGCCUCACUAAAAACAUCCUCAUAAUCCUGCAAAAGAGAUUGAAACACACUAGGCAAAUUUUUGUUAAUGUUAGAUAAAGAUAAAUAAUUUUGCCUAAACCUCAUAAGGAUACAAGGCUGUUUAUUAAGUAGGGCUCUCUUCACAUCUUUUUUUGUUGCCAAAAGAUUUUUUCCGCUCAUUUUACCACUAGAGGAUUCACUCACCUUUGGGCUUUUUAAAUUUUGACUUUUUCCACUACUAUUAGCCUAUUUUCUCUCUGUCUUUUGUACUUGCUCUUUCUCCCUUACCCCCUCACAAAAUUUUAUCAUCCUCAAUUGAUCUUUAUAUACAUCAGUAGGAUUUAAAGGAGUGAAAGUGAAUUUCUUGCCUUUAAAUACAAGGGAGUAUCGAUUAAGUUUACCUUGGUGUGUAACAUCGCGAUCAAAUUGCCAAGGUCGUCCAAGGAGCAAGUGUGCCGCAUGCAUGGGGACUACAUCACACCAUACGUCAUCCUCAUAAUUGCCGAGUUUAAAAGUGACCAAGGACUGUUUCGUAACUUUAACUUCGGAACAUUCAUUAAGCCACUGAAGGUGAUAUGGCUUAAGGUGUUUGGUACAAGGCAACUUUAAAGAAUCCACGAAAUAACUACUCACUACAUUCGAGCAACUCCCACUAUCAAUAAUGAGUGAACAUAAGUUACCUUUAAUAAAACACCGAGAAUGGAAAAUAUUGGUCCUUUGGCUCUCAUCAUCUUUCACCUGAAUGUUAAGGGUUCGGCGAACUACAAAGCAAUGGAAAUUAGCAAAGUCCCCUUCCUUUGGUGGUUCGACCAACUCUUCGCCAUUAUCACUGUCAUCCACAAGUUCUGGCAUAUCUGGAUCUGUUUUAUUAGAGUCGGAAGUGUACUCACCAUUAUCUUUCAGAAGAAGUAAUCUUGUGUUAGGGCAUUCCCUACUAUAAUGACCACGCCCUUUGCACUUAAAGCACUCAAUCUCACGAGUCCUCUUCGCACUCGAAUCUCCUAAAUUGGGCUGCUUAGAAGGUGUUUGCGUUUUAACAGGAACCCCUUUUUUCCAAUCUGAUUGCUUGCUUCCAUUACUCAAAGAAGGCUUGUUAGUAACGAAAGGUGAUUUUGAGCUCUUAAAAUCAGAAUUGGAAUUGUUACCUCGGUAAUAUUGCGAAGUCGAGAAGGAACCAAACCUUUGUUCCUUUAGUUGUUGCUCGAUCUCAAUGGCUUUAUGAACUGCUUCUUCCAAAUCAAUGUAAGUUUGUAGCCUCAAUGUAUUAGCUAUCGGCCUGUUCAAACCAUCAAUAAAUCGAACCAUAGUUGUUUCUUCAUCCUCCUCCACAUUAGCUCUCUGAAUGAGCAUCUCCAUCUCUUUAAAAUAUUCAUCCACUGUCCUACUACCUUGGAUAAGUCUUCUCAGCUUUGUUUUAAUUUCUCUAUAGUAGUGAGGUGGAAUAAACCUUUUACGCAUAAUCUGUUUCAACUCAUCCCAUGUCGAAAUCUCACCUUCAUAAUUCCGAUGGCGGUUUACCCCAAGUUGAGUCCACCAACUUAAUGCAUAAUCAGAAAAUUCCAGUGUUGCUAACGCUACCUUUUCAUCAUCCGGACAUUUAUAAUACCGAAACAUAAGUUCAAUCUUAGAUUCCCAUUCACAAUAAGCGUCAGGAUCAUUCUUACCAUGAAAUUGGGGAAUUGUGAAUUUCGGUUUUGCCAAAGAAGAUUGCCCACGAUCAUGAAAAUCAUCAUCCAUUCUAGUGACACGUCGAGGGUCGCGCCUCUGGGGUUGGUUAUCCCUGUCUUCUUUGAUUGGAUCUCGAUAUUGAGGUUCUUGAUUCAAUCGCACCUCAUUGAUGGUAGCAGUCAAAGCUCGAAGAGCAGCAGCCUGUUCAUCCAACUGUUGUUGGAAUUUUUUAAAUAUGUCACUAUUAUUAUCACCUGUAGACAUUUUUUUUAAAACCUGCAAAACACUUAACACUCAAAAAUAAAAGUUAUCAAACCUCACCGUUAAUCACUCAAAAAGAAAAAAUCAAAUUCUCAAUGAGGUCGAAUUCAAUCUUGUGAGUUCUUUAUCAGAGUUUAUAUCAACCAAUUAGAGAGUGUGAACCAAACAACCAAAGAAUCCUAAUUUGCACUAGGAUGCCAAAAACUGACGAGACACCAAUUGAUUCGUGUUGCACCGAGGAAGAAGUUGUGCACACGUUUAAAUCCUACUAACACAAGAAACAAGAAGGUGUUAGAUAACGUAAAGGAAGAAUAAAGGUAAACAAAUGAAAACCUACAGCUAAGAAUCAAUAAAAAUUACUGAAAACAGAAAACCCGAAAAACUGCGGAGUAACUUGACAACUUCGUUCGAGGUGUUCCCGAUCUCCAAAAAUCACGAAAUUAAAUCUGGAGUGUCCUUAUAUAUUUAAUUUUUGAUAUGGAAAUUUUGGGCACC